rnacentral:lncRNA from 1 species
UGCAACAAAGUGUGAACAUGGUGUUGUCGUCGUGCAGGUAGAGGAAGCCAAAAGGACAGGAAGAAGAGAGGCAAAGAGCUUACUGGCAUCGUCGUCGUGCUGGUAGUACAUGCGGCACAUGGUGUUGUCGAACAUCUUCACGGUGAACAUGGCGUCGCCGUCAUAGCGGAAGACAAGGAAGUUUCCGAACUGUAGCUCAUGGGCGCGGGCGAAAUGCUCCCAGCCGGGCCCUAGGUACAUGUGGCCUUAACCAUCAAACACCACCAACACUUCCCACAGCCUGUGAAGCCCGCUGCCGGCCUCCCGCAGCUUCACUUUGUGGGGCUCACGGCCGGCGAGCAUCUUCGCAAACUUGUCAGGCAGCCUCUGUAGCGAGGGUCAAGCAAUGGUUAAUUGUGGCAAUCAAGCACUAGACAGCAGAGUGAUGAUAAAGAAAUGAGUGAUGAUAAACAUACCUGCCUACUGCAAGAUUUCUUAAUUACGAACACAAAGAACUCGAAACCUUCCAAGCAAUAGGAAACAAGCAAUAGUAAAUUAAACAACAUGACUGGACAGAAAUAGGAAACAAGCAGCAUUGUAAAUCAAAACAGUAGAAUAAUUACUACAUGUGUUUGCCAGGGCCUCAAUUUGGAAUACUACUAUAAAUGGCAAUGGCCUCAAUUUGCUCCUACUCUAUCUUGGCAAAGGGGCAAUGAGUAGAAGAAGAAUGUAAUGUUUCCAUACUUGAGCAUGUUCAGUUUAAAAGAAUAUAAACAAGCAAGAGAUAACCACAAGCAUGUUUAGCAAUGAGUAGAAGCACAAGACUUGUCAACAAAAAUAACCACAACAGCAUGUUCAACCAGAGAUCAACAGCAACAGAAUUCAACAGCAUGUUCUGGCAACAGUAACAGCAUGUUCACCAUAGAAUUCAGCAGCAACAGAAUUCAGUUAAUUUAGUUAAUUAACCACAGAAUUCAACAACAACAUAACAGCAUGUCUACCACACUACCUACCACAAAUUUAGUUAAUUACACCCACAACAACCGUUAAUUGCUGUCAGGUGACUACCAACAGCAACAACAUAGUAAUUAAACAACAACUCAACCACACCGAGUAUACUAAAUCCACCAAGUGGUAGAACAGUAUGCCUAACAUCAAGAACAGUAUGCAUAACACCAAGUGGUAGAACAGUAUGCAUAACAUCAAGAACAGUAAUCCACCAAUAGAGCAUACUAAAUCCACCAAGAACAAAUCCUAGAUUCUCAAACCCAGAGCAGAAGAGAAAGGAGAGAGGAUAUGAAGCGGAUGGCUUACCGCGGUGGAGUCCGAGAAGAAGUGGUCGUCGGCGGCGUAGGGCAAGCCGCACGGGAGGCGUCGGACCAGCAGAGGCGCCGGGGAGGCGUCGCCGUUACCCUAAAAAACAUCCUAAUAAAACCCUAAUCCGGUGGCAAGAACCAUAAUCUAUCAUAACAAUACAUAGGAAGAGGAAGAGGAAGCGGAUUCAUACCCACGGCGACGGAGAGUCAUCGACGGAGGAGGAAGCUGGCGGCGGCGGUGGGAGAGGAAGAAGCCGGUGGCGGCGGAGAGGAGGAGGAGCGGGCCCAAUUGUCAGCGAGUUGUUUGAUAUAUUGAAAAGGGUGGGCAUAGAGUACAAAACCAACAACCUCUCCCUAGCCCAGUGGAAGAAACCAAGUGAACUAAGCGCACGGUCGUGGGUUCGAGCCCCCGCGCGCGCAUAUUUUUUGGCCACGCGCAUAUUUUUGGUAGCUUUGGUACAAUAGCAAAAUGGCCCACUUAUCAGUGAGUGGGUCGAGUGGCCCACUUGUCAGUGAGGUGUGUGCUUGAUACUUGACUAGUUUGAUAUAGUCAAAAGGGUUGGCAUAGAGUACAAAACCAACAGCCUCUUCCUAGCCCAGUGGUAGAAACAUAGAGAAACAAGCGUAUGGUCGUGGGUUCGAGUCCCCGCCGGCGCAUUUCUUUUUGCUCACAAUGAAGCAAAAUUCAGUUAAAAUAGCACAAAAUUCAGUUAAAAUUCAGUUGAAGCAAAACCAGACAUCAUCCACUUCAGUUCAAAAAAACUACUACUACAGCCAUCAGGAUCACACCACUACAGCCAUCAGCUCCAUGCUAUAAGACCACACCACUACAGCCAUCAAGAUCACCAAAACUAAAUGAUCACCAAUAUCUAAAUGAUCAUUUUGCAAUCUUUUGCAUUACAAGACAACAUUUUGACAACAUUCUGAGCACAACAUCAUUUUGCCAUCAGCUUCAUGCUAUAAGACCACACCACUACAGCCAUCAGGAUCACACCACUACAACCAUCAGGAUCUUCAAGAAUUUUGCUACCUGGAGAUAAUUGUAGUACAUCAGGAUCACCAUGCAUAUGCACAAGAAGGAUCACUACAGAGAGUUAGAAGGAUCACCAAGGAGACCAAAUUUACCUUCAUGUCCAUUCGCUACUCAUCGUCGUCGAUACGAAAACAAGGAACUCUAUGCCCACUCCUAUUUUCCUCAUCAUCACUACAAUAUUGCAGCAUAGUAUGAUCAGUCCAGUUUUCCUCAUCCUCGCUUUCAUGUCCAUCCUCUACCACCUUUCUUCUUUUCUUGAUGCCUUCAACUGUUGCAGCACCAACGAUCACACGUUCCCGGUCCCUUCGCACUCUGCUUUGCACCGGAACUUCCAUAGAGUCAUCAACAGCUUGCAACGGAAUUUCCGUAGAGUCAUCAUCUUGGUAUGUUAGUCCACCAUCACCGGGGCCCUUUUCCACUUCAGUUUUAGUCACACUCCACAAGUGUCUGUGCUGAAAGUUUGGCACAACUCGCCAUUUUCCGUGCAAAAGAGUGUCUGGCAGAUAAAACACCAUUGUUGCUUGUGUUGUUAGAAUAAAGGGAUCACUCUUGUACCAGCACCUUGCAGUGUUGAUUCUUUUGAAGUGGCCAUCAUAUUUGACAAAAGAGUCUCUCCUCUUCUUGCUACCAAGCUCAAACCAGUCACAGUGAAAUAAGACAACCGAGCGAUGGAUGCCUCCACUAGAGUUGUACUGCAACUCUACGAUGCUUCUCAACUGACCAUAGAAGUCAAUGAUCUCACCAUCAUGUGACCCCUCAGUGACGAUUCCACUAUUCUGUGUCUUCCUUUUUUCCUCGCGGUCAACGGUGUGGAACCGGACACCGUCAGCAAUGCAUGCUGAAUACACUCUCACUCGCUUAUCCGGUAAGCAUGCCAAAGCAAAUAGAUCAUCACUGACCUUCUUCUCCUCAUGCAACUUUCCAAUCUGCACAAAUAAACAAUGGUAUUUAAAACAUGGGUAUUUAACAAUGGGUGAAUAACACAGAAAACAUAAAACAUGUGGCUAAAGAUCUCACAUGAUUCUUAAACCACUUAGCAAACACCUUGGCAACCCUUUUAUCAACAUUGAUAUUGCUUUCUUCCUGAUUUAACUCUUCCUUGCAUUUCCUGCAAUGCCAACAAAACAUGUGAAUUAAAACAUUAGGCUGGUGCCAACCCAAGCAAAUAUAUAUAUAUAUAUAUAAUGAGUGCACAACAUGUAACGUACUCGAUAUAUGGUAGAACCUCGACGCAAUUGCUGAGCACAAACAAAACCAUCUUGUCAUACGCAUCACCAGCCUCCAAGUAUUGUGAGGCUCCAAGAAAGUUCACACCAUGGUUGAAAACAGAGACAUCACCACUUUGUGAAUCAGACCGCUCUCUAUUUCUGCCCGGCCGGUUCCAUCUUGUUUCCACAUCACCAAAGUAUGUAGAGCAAAAAUUCAAGCACUCAUCAACGACAUAUGCUUCAGCAAUAGAACCUUCAGGUCUUGCCGUGUUUCGCACAUAACGCUUCCAAGUAAGCAGCCUUCUUUCGAUUGGGUACAUCCAACCGUAUUGCACAGGGCCUCUAAGCAUUGCCUCUUUGGGUAAGUGCACCGCCAAAUGGACCAUCACGGUGAAGAAAGCUGGAGGGAAAAUCUUCUCGAGCUUGCAAAGAAUAGUUGGGAUUUCUUUUUCAAGUCUUUCCAGGACAGUUAACUUGAGGGUUUUGCAGCACAGUUCUCUAAAGAAAUUUCCCAGCUCAGCAACCGCUUCAUAUAUAUCCUUGUGCAUGAUUCCUCGGAGGCCCGCCGAAAAAUCCUUUGGAGGAGGAUGUGACAAUCAUGGGUUUUCAGUACUGAAAGCUUGAAUCCAUCAGAAGUAACACACUUUGCUAGGUUAGCAGCAUAACCAUCUGGAAAUUUCACCGCUCUUAGGAAUUCACAGAUGCAAGCUUUUGUUCUUUAUUCAUUGUAUACCAUCUUCAUCUUCAUUGUGCUGUAGAUGCAAAUCUUCUCUUAUGCCCACGUCCUCCAAAUCAAGCCUAGAACUAACCGUGUCCUUUGUCUUCCCUUCAAUGUUCAGAAACAUCCCUAGCAGAUUCUCGCAUAUGUUUUUCUCAAUGUGCAUUACAUCGAAAUUAUGCCUUAAUUUCAGAUCAGCCCAGUAUGGCAGGUCCCACAAACAAGACCUCCGGUCCCAACAUUGACCUUCCUCACGCUUUCUUUUCUUCGCCAGCUUUCCUGGUCUCACAUCUUUCACCUUUUCAAGUUGCUGCUCCAGCUCUUCUUUAGUGAAUUCAGCUGGCUUGUCACGGGUUUCAUUCUCACCAUUAAAAUCUUUGCUUCUUCGCCAGCGAUUGUUUCGGUGAAGAAAGCGGCGGUGCCCAAUAUAGCAGAUCUUGCUCCUUAUUCUCUUUGAGCAAGGGUCUUUGUCACAAUGGACACAAGCCUGAUAACCCGUUGUGAUCCUCCCAGACAGAGUGUGCAGAGCCGAGAAAUCAUGGAUGGACCAUAUGAUCGCAGCACGCAGAUUGAACUUUUCUUCCGGACUCAAGGCAUCGUAUGUAGGUACACCAGUCCAGAGAUGGAGCAGUUCUUCUACGAGGGGCUCCAUAAAGACAUCAAAAUCCUUUCCUGGAGAAUCUAGACCCAGGAUAAGCAAUGACAUCAUGAAGUUGGACUGAUCCAUUCAUGCCCAUGGUGGCAGGUUGUACGGCACCACAAAAACUGGCCACAUGCUAUAAGACGUGCUCAUGUUCCCAAACGGAUUAAACCCAUCUGUGGCAAUGCCAAGUUUUAUGUUCCUUGGAUCUGCAGCAAAAUCUAAAUGUAUACGGUCAAACUCUUUCCAUGCCUCUCCAUCCGCUGGAUGGCUCAGCUCAUUGUCCAUAGGUUGCCGCUUCAGCUUGUGCCACUGUACCUCACGCGAUGAUUUCUUCGAGAUGAACAUCCGCUGCAGCCUUGGUAUCAAGGGAAAGUGCCUCAGUACCUUCUCCGGUAUUGACUUCUUCCCAUCAGCAUCUUUCCACCUAGAUGCAUUGCAUUUUGGACAGUUGGCAUGCUUUGCUAAAUCCUUCCGAAACAAGACACAGUUAUUUGGGCACACAUGUAUUGACACAUAACCUAACCCCAGCCUACGGAUUACGCUCAAUGCUUCAUCAUAAGAUCUGGGAACACAACUAUCAGGGAAUUGCAAGCUCAAAAGACGGAGUAUUGCAUUGAAUGCGGCAUUGCUAAUCCAGUAGAAAGACUUGAUGUGGAGUAACUUCACGGUGAAGGUAAAUCUUGAAAAUUUACCCCCUUCAUGAGCUGCGCGCUUCGCCUCCUCUAACACGUCAGCAAACAACGAUUUCUGUCCAUCAGCACGAUCUUUAGCAUCGUACAAAUCCUUCAAUAGGUCAGGAAUCCUAUCAUCUUCAUGCCCAUCCUCUUCCUCCAAAACAGCAUUAUCUCGCAAAACCUUUUCCAUGAAAUCAAUGCCAGCAUCACCACCACCCAUCAUAUGUGGGGCCUCUGUAUCAGCUUCAGAAUGUUGAGGUUGUCUGUCUAAAGGUUCUCCAUGAUAUAUCCAUCUAUCAUAUGUGCUGGACAUCCCAUUAAGAAGCAGAUGAUCUUCCACUAUUCCUUGAGCCAUUCUUUGACGGUUGAGGCAUUCACAACAUGGGCAAAGAAUGUGAGCAUCGUUGGCAAAAAUUUCCCGAACAAAUGCCAUGAAAUCAUCAACUCCUUUCAUAUGUUCUUUCGAAAACUUUCUAACUCCUUUUCUAAUCCAGCUUCUGUCCAUCUGCCAAAGACAACAAAUCGUUGCAACUUAGCAAAUCAAUUUCAGUGCAUCAACAUUAAUUAAUGAAAAUGGAUGGAAGUAAUAAUGGAAGCUAAAAUUCUAGAAAAUUUUAUAUGCUAAUUGCCUAACCACAACACUGAAACAAACCAAACUAUAAAUUAAACCAGCACUGAAAUUGGCAUGAAUUUAGGUUGCAGAGAAGGCUAAUUCAAAAUAAACCAAACUAGCUAGCUAGCUCCUAACAAAUACUAUGCUGUUUCUAUCAAUUACAAUUACAAUUACAAUUGAAGACCAAGGCCUUGUUUCUGGCCUAAAUAAAUGAGAGGGGUUAACAGAUAUUGGCAGGGAUUAAAUCCCAUCUAGCUAAAAUGCCCCCCAAAUCUUAACCGAACAAGGCCUGAAUAAUUGUUAACAAACAAGCAAGGCCCAAACAAGCAAGAAAAUUCCUAACAGUGCAAUAUCUACCAAACAAGCAAGAUAUCUCCUAAUUCCUAACAGUGCAUCAACAAAAUUCAUCUAUGUUGAAGAACAUAUGACAAAAUUCAUCAACAAAUUUCAUCUAUGCUCGGCGACGAGGUGCAGAUAGUGAGAGAGGAGAGGGGGGAAGAGGGGAGGGGGGAAGAGGAGAGGGGUGCAUACCGGGAGGUGUGCUUGCGGCGGCGGCGAGUCCCCCAUGCUCGGCGAGCCUCUCCUUGCGUGGGCGUCGUUCCUGCGCCCGCCCCUACCACCGCAGGGGACAAGGCGAGCGGCGAGGCCGUGGGCGAGGUCACCUGCAGCGAGGCCGUUCCUUCCCCCGCCCGCACCACCGCCGGUUGCCCCCACCCCUGCUGGUCGCUUCGGCCGCCGGCCCCGCCCUCGUCUGCCGGCCACGCCCUUGCCCACAGCCCGCCGCCACCUGGUCGGAGGACCUAUAAUUUUUUGGCUAAGUGUUGGCUCUGCCCGCAGCCCGCCGCCACCUGGUCGGAAUAGGUCCCAUUUGUCAAUGACUUAGAUUUGGCGCUAUAAUAUAAUAUACAGAGCCAUUCCGCUAGAUGGACAACAAUCCCUCUCUAGCCCAGUGGUAGCGAACAAGUUAAACAGCGCGAGGUCGUGGGUUCGAGUCCCGCCUCGUGCAUCUUUUUUACUAACAAAUUUAGGGCCUGUCAAGUGGGUCCCUCCUAUAAACGAGCUCUUGUUGAAUAUACACAUGUAAGAGAAAAUGACAACUAAUCACUCCACAUAGGCGAGACUGCUGAGGUGGCCGCCUAAUCAUACAACUGCAUUAAAACUCAAGUGUAACGACCAUUCAUAUUGGUCGUAAUUUGUUAGAAUUGAGGCAUGAACCAGGGUUGUCUGCUUUAUGACCAUUUCCUCUAAUAAAUUACGACCUUUCUGACCAGAAUGGUCGUUGUGGGUUAGGGUUUGGAGCCCCCCGAACAGCUUUUGACCAAUUGGUCUAAAAUGGUCAUAAAUUUAUGACCAAUUCUUCCAGGGUCACUGACAGAAGGCCAUAAGUUGACAUAUUUCUUGUAGUGAUAUGGGGGGGGGCGGCAACGCUACAACAAAAAACAUUGUUAGCCGUGUGCGGCGCACCCCUCCAUAGUUUACGCCUCCGAUCAUAUUCACGUAAUGCUUAGGCGAAGCCCUGCGCGGAUCACUUCACCAUCACCGUCACCACGCCGUCGUUCUAAUUGAACUUUCCCACGACACUUUGCUGGAUCAAGAGUUUGAGGGACUUCAUCGAGCUGAACAUGUGCAGAACUCGGCGGUGCCGUACGUUCAGUGCAUGAUCGGUCGGAACGUGAAGAAGUUCGACUACAUCAACCGCGUUAACAAACGCUUCCACUUUUGGUCUACGAGGGUACGUGGACACACUAUCCCCCUCUCGUUGCUAUGCAUCUCCUAGAUAGAUCUUGCGUGAGCGUAGGACAUUUUCUGAAAUUGAAUGCUACGUUUCCCAACAGUGGCAUCCGGGCCAGGUCUAUGCGUAGAUGGUAUGCACGAGUAGAACACAAAGAGUUGUAGGUGGUGAUAGUCAUACUGCUUACCACUAAUGUCUUAUUUUGAUUCGGCGGUAUUGAUGGAUGAAGCGGCCCGGACCAACAUGACCACGUUCAUGAGACUGGUUCCACCGACAGACAUGCAACUAGUAUUGCAUAAAGGUGGCUGGUCGGUGUCUGUUUCUCCAACUUUAGUUGAAUCGAAUUUGACUACGGCGGGUCCUUGUUGAAGGUUAAAACAACAAACUUGACAAAACACUGUUGUGGUUUUGAUGCGUAGGUAAGAACGGUUCUUACUAGAAGCCCGUAGCAGCCACGUAAAACUUGCAACAACAAAGUAGAGGACAUCUAACUUGUUUUUGCAGGGCAUGUUGUGAUGUGAUAUGGUCAAGACAUGAUGUGAUAUACGUUGUUGUAUGAGAUGAUCCUGCUUGGUAAAAGUUAUCGGCAACUGGCAGGAGCCUUAUGGUUGUCGCUUUAUUGUAUGAAAUGCAAACGCCAUGUAAUUGCUUUACUUUAUCUCUAUGCGUUUGCGAUAGUUGUAGAAGCAAUAGUUGGCGAGACGACAAUGAUUCUACGAUGGAGAUUAAGGCGUCAAGCCGCUGAUAAUGGAGAUCAUGACGGUUCUUUGGAGAUGGAGAUCAAAGGCACAAGGUGAUGAUGGCCAUAUCAUGUCACAUAUAUUGAUUACAUGUGAUGUUUAUCUUUUAUGCAUCUUAUUUUGCUUAGUACGGCGGUGCCAUUAUAAGAUUGUCCCUCACUAAAAAUUUCAGGGUACAAGUGUUCUCCCCGAGUAUGCACCGUUGUGAUAGUUCAUCGUGCUGAGACACCACGUAAUGAUCGGGUGUGAUAAGCUCUACGUUCACAUACAACGGGUGCAAGACAGUUUUGCACAUGUGGAAUACUCGGGUUAAACUUGACGAACCUAGCAUGUACAGACAUGGCCUCGGAACACUGGAGACCGAAAGGUCAAGCGUGUAUCAUAUAGUAGAUAUGAUCAACAUAGAUAUGUUCACCAUUGAAAACUACUCCAUCUCACGUGAUGAUCGGACAUGGUUUAGUUGAUUUGGAUCACGUGAUCAUUUAGAUGACUCGAGGGAUAGCUAUCUAAGUGGGAGUUCUUAAGUAAUAUGAUUAAUUGAACUUAAUUUAUCAUGAACUUAGUCCUGAUAGUUUUUGCAUAUCUAUGUUGUAGAUCAAUGGCCUCUGCUUACGUUCCUUUUAAUUUUAAUGUGUUCCUACAGAAAGCUAAGUUGAAAUAUGAUCGUAGCGACUACAAGGACUGUGUCCGUAACUUGAGGAUUAUCCUCAUUGCUGCACAGAAGAAUUAUGUCCUUGAUGCGCCGCCAUGUGAAAGGCCUGCUGUAGGAGCAGAUGCUGAUGUUAUGAACGCCUGGCAAGCUCGAUCUCAUGACUACUCGAUAGUUUAGUGUGCCAUGCUUUACGGCUUAGAAUCAGGACUUAAAAGACGUUUUGAACGUCAUGGACCAUAUGAGAUGUUCCAGGAAUUGAAGUUAAUAUUUCAAGAAAAUGCCCCGAGUUAAGAGAUAUGUAGUCUCCAACAAGUUCUAUAGCUACAAGAUGGAGGAGAAUAGCCCUGUCAUUGAACACAUACUUAGUCUGAGUAUCAUAACCACUUGGCUCAGCUGGGAGUUAAUCUUCUAGAUGAUAGUUUUAUUGAUUGAGUUCUCCAAUCACUACCACCAAGCUAUAAAGGCUUCGUGAUGAACUAUAAUAUGCAAGGGAUGGAGAAGACUAUUCCCGAGCUCUUCGCUAUGCUCAAAGCUGCGGAGGUAGAAAUCAAGAAGGAGCAUCAAGUGUUGAUGGUUAACAAGACCACUAGUUUCAGAAAAAAGGGCAAAGGAUAGUAGGGGAACUUCAAGAAGAAUGACAAGCAAGUUGCCACUCCCGGGAAGAAGCCCAAGUCUGGACCUAAGCCUAAAACUAAGUGCUUCUACUACAAAGGGAUCGGUCAUUGCAAGUGGAACUGCCCCAAGUAUUUGGCAGAUAAGAAGGAUGGCAAAGUUAACAAAGGUAUAUUUGAUAUACAUGUUAUUGAUGUGUACCAUACUAAUGCUCAUAGUAGUGCCUGGGUAUUUGAUACCAGUUCGGUUGCUCAUAUUUGUAACUCAAAACAGGGGCUACGGAUUAAACGAAGAUUGGCUAAGGACAAGGUGAUGAUGCGCGUCGGGAACGGUUCCAAGGUCGAUGUGAUCGCCGUCGGCACGCUACCUCUACAUCUACCUUCGGGAUUAGUUUUAGACCUGAAUAAUUGUUAUUUGGUGCCAGGGUUGAGUUUGAACAUUAUACCUGGAUCUUGUUUAAUGCGAGACGGUUAUUCAUUUAAAUCGGAGAAUAAUGGUUGUUCUAUUUAUAUGAGUAAUAUCUUUUAUGGUCAUGCACCCUUGAAGAGUGGUCUAUUUUUGUUGAAUCUCGAUCGUGAUGAUACACAUAUUCAUAAUAUUGAUGCCAAAAGAUGCAAAAUUGAUAAUGAUAGUGUAAUAUAUUUGUGGCACUGCCGUUUACGUCAUAUUGGUGUAAAGCGCAUGAAGAAACUCCAUGCAGAUGGACUUUUGGAAUCACUUGAUUAUGAAUCAUUUGAUGCUUGUGAACCAUGCCUCAUGGGCAAGAUGACUAAAACUCCGUUCUCCGGAACAACGGAGCGAGCCACUGACUUAUUGGAAAUAAUACAUACCGAUGUAUGCGGUCCGAUGAGUGUUGAGGCUCACGGCGGGUAUCGUUAUUUUCUGACAUUCACAGAUGAUUUAAGCAGAUAUGGGUAUAUCUGUUUGAUGAAACACAAGUCUGAAACAUUUGAAAAGUUCAAAGAAUUUCAGAGUGAAGUGGAGAAUCAUCGUAACAAGAAAAUAAAGUUACUAAGCUCUGAUCGCGGAGGCGAAUAUUUGAGUUACGAGUUUGGUCUUCAUUUAAAACAAUGUGGAAUAGUUUCACAACUCACGCCACCUGGAACACCACAGCGUAAUGGUGUCCAAAUGUCGUAACCGUACUUUAUUGGAUAUGGUGCGAUCUAUGAUGUCUCUUACCAAUUUACCUCUAUUUUAUUAUGGUUAUUGAAGGAAAUAUGCCCUAGAGGCAAUAAUAAAGUUUUUAUUUAUAUUUCCUGAUAUCAUGAUAAAUGUUUAUUAUCCAUGCUAGAAUAGUAUUAACCGGAAACUUGAUACAUGUAUGGAUACAUAGACAGAACACCGUGUCCCUAGUAAGCCUCUACUAGACUAGCUUGUUAAUCAAAGAUUGUUACAUUUCCUAGCCAUAGACAUGUGUUGUCAUUUGAUGAACGGGAUCACAUCAUUAGGAGAAUGAUGAGAUGGAGAAGACCCAUCCGCUAGCUUAGCGUAAUGACCGUUAAGUUUUAUUGCUAUUGCUUUCUUCAUGGCAUAUACAUAUUCCUUUCACUGUGAGAUUAUGCAACUCCCGGAUGAUGGAGGAAUACCUUGUGUGGUAUCAAAUGUCACAAUAUAACUGGGUGAUUAUAAAGAUGCUCUACAGGUAUCUCCGAAGGUGUUUGUUCGGUUGGCAUAGAUCGAGAUUAGGAUUUGUCACUCCGAGUAUCGGAGAGGUAUCUCUGGGACCUCUCGGUAAUACACAUCAUGAUAAGCCUUGCAAGCAUUGUGACUAAUGAGUUAGUUGCGGGAUGAUGCAUUACGGAACGAGUAAAGAGACUUGCCGCUAACAAGAUUGAACUAGGUAUGAAGAUACCAAUGAUCGAAUCUCGGGAAAGUGACAUACCGAUGACAAAGGGAAUAACAUAUGUUGUUAUGCGGAUUGACCGAUAAAGAUCUUCGAAGAAUAUGUAGGAAAAAUUAUGAGCAUCCAGGUUCUAGUAUUGGUUAUUGACCAGAGAUGUGUCUCGGUCAUGUCUACAUAGUUCUAGAACCCGUAGGGUCCACACGCUUAACGUUCGAUGACAAUUUGUAUUAUGAGUUAUGUGUUUUAUUGAUCGAAGUUUGUUCGGACCCGGAUGAGAUCACAUACAUGAUGAGGAGUCUCGAAAUUGUUGACAGGUAAAGGUUGAUAAAUUGGAAGUUGGUAUUCGGACACCGAAAUGGUUCUGAAGAGGUUCAGGGAUUUUUUUGGAGUACCGGGAGGUUACCGGAACACCCCAGGAAAGUUAAUGGGCCCAAUGGGCCAUAGAGGAGAGGAGAAGGUAGGCCACGGGAGGUGGCACCCCCCCAAGGGAGUCCGAAUUGGACUAGGGGGAGGGGGCGCCCCCCCUUUCCUUCUCCCUCUCCCCCUCUUUCCCCUUUCCCCCUCUUCGUUGGAAGGAAGGGGGAGCCAACUAGGACUGGGAGUCCUAGUGGGACUCCCCUCCACUUGGCGCGCCCCUAGGGCCGGCCGGCCUCCCCCUCCUCCUUUAUAUACGAGGGCAGGGGCACCCUAGAACACAACAGUUUACUCCUCCACAGUUUACUCCUCCAGUCAUACACUAGUAGAAAAGGGCGCCCAUUAGUCCCGGUUCAGUCUAGAACCGGGACCAAUGGGUGCAUUGGACCCGGUUCGUGAGCCCAGGGGGCCGGCCGGGCCACGUGGGCCAUUGGUCCCGGUUCGUCUGGACCUUUUGGUCCCGGUUUGUGGGACGAACCGGGACCAAUGGCCCUGGCUCCUGGCCCACCACCAUUGGCCCCGGUUGGAGGCAUGAACCGGGACCAAAGGCCCCCCUUUAGUCUCGGUUCAUGCCACCAACCGGGACCAAUGGUGGUGCCUACAUAUACCCCCUCGCGCAAGAGCAGAGCACACUGCUCUGUUUUUUCUGGCCGAGGGGGAGAGGGCUUGGUGGUGCUCUAGCUCACCUCCUAUGCACACAAGGUGUUCGAUGGAAUGCCCGAGCCACACUACUUAAGCUUUCUCCUCUCCAAGCUCGACCUCCAAGCUCCAUUUUCCUCAAUAUUUGUCUAGGUUUAGCGGUCCGUCACGCCCCGCCCCCGUCUUCACCACCGUUGAUCACCCGCGCCGAUCUCAUCACCGGCACCACCGUGGUGAGCCUCUUGUUCUUAUCUUCUUUCUGAAAGGAAAAAUAUUCUUACUUGUAUGUUUAGGUAGAUACUUGCAUCAUUUUCUUACUUUUAUUAUUGCAUCUUAUAUAGUGCGAUGAUUUUGGUAUCCGCCCCCGUCGGCCCUCGUCCUGUCUAUGAUUCGGAUGUGGUAUAUAUUAUCUUUAUAACUAUUGGUUCAUUUAUUGUUUAUGAAAAUUGUGCUGACCAACGUGACAUAGAUUUUAUUUAUCGAGGAGGUAUGUGAACCGGAAAUUCCAACCGACCCUAUUGUUGAGAGGUUAAAUUUAGUAUAAGAAGAAAACAUUUUCUUGAAGGAAAAAAUAAAAAAAUUGAUGAGGAGAAGAUGAUACUGGAGUUGCAUGUUGCGGAUGUCGUCGAUGAUCACAAGAACAAGAUGGAUGCAUGUGACACUCCAAAAAAUUUAUUUGGUUUUUAGCAAAAACCUUGCUGGUUUUUCUUUUGUGAAAUAAGGCUUUUUAAAGAAAAUAUCCAAAUAGACCAUCCCCUUAAAAAUCUUUUUCUUUGGCUAGGAUUGUUAUUUCUGUUUUCUUCUUCAAGCCUUGGGUUUGGUCAUUUAAAACUUCUCCUUUGUUGGUUACCUUCCCAAAUAAAUAUUUUUUUGGGAGUUUAAUCUUUUUCUUUUUAAAAUAAAAACUCUAUGAAAAUUUGGGACUUUCAUUCUUUUGAUAACCACCCAUGACCUUGUAUUUUUGUCCAUGAGGUAAAACCACUCCAAAACCUCCUCUCCUCCUUGUUAUCAACCUAAGUUCCCUAUCCCAACUCAUCCAAACAAGUUUUGGAUUUUUAUUUUGAUUAUUUCAUCUCUCAAAUAUUUUCUGUCAAUUAUUUUGAGCCUGAUGGAUCUUCAAAGCAAGUACCCCAUUGCAAUUGAGAUUUGACUCCAAACCAACUCUACUGGCUAGUCCUUUGUACCCACAACCCAGAACCAUCUUGAUCCACUCAUCUUCUUUUCAAAUUUUUCAAAUUUCACUCCCUGCAAGCUUGGACCAGAUUUGCCAAAUUUGGUGAAUUUCAUAUCUACACUUCUCCAAAAAUUCCACCAAAAAAAGGCAGCCUACUGGAGCAAUGAGGAGCCACUCCACCAAAAAUCAGCUCAAGGAAAAAUCCCUGCAUGCCAAAAGCAUUCUGUCGAACACCUGAACUACAUUGUUUCCUUGCACUUUCAGAAAUUCAGAGAAGUUCAGAGUUUCAGUUUCGUCAGACUUCGGUCACGCGGCCACAGUGCGCCCUGGCGUGAUGCACACGGCCCCAUCCCCUUAGCCAGCACCCCGCACGCGUGCUUGGCCGAUUCCUGGCGUCGGUGGCGGCGAGCCUCGCAGGCGUUGGAAGCUUCUGCGGUGGCUGCGCCACCCGUGGCGGCUAGCGAGGGCUCGAGCCGCUUGCCACGCCACCUGGCGCCGCCCAACGCCCCCUGGCUCUUCGCGUGUCCCUGCCAUGCCAGCGCACGCCCGUGGUACCGUCGCCGUGUCCGGCAAGCACGGGGCAUGCUCUCUGCCGCCGACGGACCCGCGCCGUCCCGUUCCGUCGAACUCCACCUAAGCAAGCAAAACUCGGCGCUGUUGGCACCUAAACGGACUCCGUGAACCUCCACGACGGCGCUCAGCUCCUAAACUCUCCGGACCAAGCACUGCACCGCCGUAAUCCAUCGCCGGAGAACUCCGUUCUCGGCCACCGCCUCGGAUCGCCUAUAAAAGGAGACCCCGAGCUCUCCCUCCAGCAUGCACCACCCCUACACUUCACCAACGCCCUGCCAGGCCACUGGGAGGACCUCGAGGAGGUCUCCUCCCCCAACUCCGGCCACCCCAUUCCGCCUCGGCCUCCAGCUUGAUUCACUGCAGUGAGGUCAACUCCGGCGCCCAAGCUCUGUCAAUCACCUCCUCCAGCUACCAGAUACCUGACCCCCACCUCAAUUUGCACCUUGCGGUCCUCUCCGGCGAGCUCCACCCUCGCCCGAACCGCCGUCCGCCGGAGCAAGGGCCACCGUCGACACAGUGCAUGCCGAUGACCACCACCACCAACACUCGACGCGGAAUGGCGCCCUGAGCACGGAGGUAACCUCCGAUCCCUCUGCCUCGCCGUGGAUCCCCGCCGGCGAUCGCACCGGCUCUCUGGCGCCAAAAGCACCGCCCCGUUUUCAAACCCGACGGGUGGGACCGCCAAGUCAGGUUUCUUUCUUUUUUUUGAAUCGUUUUCUGAAAACACCUUCGGGCAAAAUAGGUCUUCUCCUCUGAGCCGGCGUAUUUGAGACGGAAGCGUUUUCUAUUUUUAUAAAAAGAACCCCGAGAAGUUUUUGUUUCAUUACAAAUGGGUCCCUGGACAAAAACCUUUAUAACUUUUUAACAGAAGCAUAUUUUUGAGUGAUUCUUUUUCUGUUCUCUUCAAAAUUUUGUCUAGUUUUUUACCAGAUUUAUUUGAAAAAUAUUUGCAAUACUUUUUCUGCACCUCUCGGUAUUCACGUUAGCGCGUAUGUUUUCUCUAUACCGUAGAUACCGAAGAAGGUGACGGAGCCGCGAACUUCACCGAGCUAGGCUCCCACUUUUCUGAACCAGGCAAGCAUGUUUGAACUUUUGAUAUGAUGAGUGUCUUGGCAUGUUUUGCAUUUAGUUAGUCUCACGGCAUGAUGUGAGCAUACCGAUGAACGUGUUUUUCAUGCAUUGUUGAUGCAAGUAAGUUCGAUGAUCCAUACGUAGUUGGAUGUGAGCAUGCAAGGCCAUGUGUUGGCAUGUAGAUGGGUGAGAUGGCAGUGUUGUAGCAUGCCAGUCUUAUGCCAUGCAAGUUGACUUCAGUACCAACCCGUAUCGGUUCGGUUCCUAUCCAUUUCCCUUCCCUGUACUACCACAUGUGUCUCGCAAGAGAUAUGGUUUAGUAAGUUGCAAUCCACUUUCUUGGUACACACCAAAAAGGAGAGGCCGGGAUGAUGGUUCCAUGGCCCUGGAUUAAAGCCAGUCAUCCGGUCAGGGGGCAUGGGUGUUUCCGGUUGGGACCGAGAGGGGGGCACCCCUUAGAGCGCGCGUAUAUAAAUUUGAUCCCAUGCCAUUCGAGAUUGUGAUCUCCCCGUCUCAAAAGUUUUUCUUGGUCGAUGUCUAGGGUGAUUCCUAGCAUCGAGAAGUAGGAUGGGUGUGUACUGGUUAGUUGUGUUUUCUUCUGAAAUACCGUAAACGGAACUAGUCCUCGUGACUACGGAAAUCCGUUAACCGUGGGAAAUUUUUGUACAAACUCUGCAGAGUCAUAAAUCUUCAGUCUAUCUUAUCCAUAUCCAAGUUCCGUGCUAACUAACAAGUGCCAGUUUUGGUGACAGAUUAUCCGGUGAGACACAUGAGUGCUAAGUCCGGUUAAAUAUUUAAUCCUGUGAAUGGACUAACCCGUUUACUUUCAAGAGUGGAAUACUCAUUAUGAACAUUAUUACCGCGACGGUACAAGCCCUUUCUGUGAUGUCGCUCAGACGUCCGACUGUGGUAUUGUUAUUAUUUACUUUCAGUAACAACCCUUUCUGUGAUGUCGCUCAGACGUCUGACUGUGGCAUUUUAUUAUUUACUUUCAGUAACAGCCCUUUCUGUGAUGUCGCUCAGACGUCCGAUUGUGGCAUUUUAUUAUUUACUAUCAGUAACAGCCCUUUCUGCGAUGUCGCUCAGACGUCCGACUGCGGCAGUACUGUUAUUUUUCCUUUCAAUGCAAAGCCCAUUCUGUGAUGUCGCCCCGACGUCCGCCUAUGGCACGCAUGUAUUUUAUUUUCGGUUAAAGCCCUUUAUGUGGUGUCGCUCAGACGCCCGACUGUGGCAUAAGCAUUAUUUUCUUGUUCACCUUUCGUGGCGUCACUCCAGACACUUGAUUAGUUUCCUUUAAUUUUUCUGUUGGGAUUUCAGGCGGACUACCGCCAAUUCCUUUUUACUUACCUUGCCUGCUAAUAUUUCAAUUAUGCUUUGGUAAAUUAACCAUGGCGCAUUCAUGCAUGCAUUUGUUAUAUCUUACGUCCGAACUGUCUUGCGAGUACUUUCAAAGUACUCACUGGCUUGUGGAUUUGGCCAGAUGCUGACGAAGGCGAUCUCAUGGAUGAAGAGUUCGAUAGCGAGUCCGACGCCUAGAGGAGUCCCAGUCAGUCUCGUGCGACCCUGGAGUUGGUCACUAUAUUACAUCCGCUUCCGCUACCCAAAUAAAUUCAUCGAGCCUCACCUAGACGCUCGAUGAACUGCUAGUUUGAGAGACACGUUAAUCUCUCCCCACUGAGCUAUUCCACCAUCACUCUACCCUCGAGUUAGUAGUAUGCCACCCCCCGCCGUGUUAUGUCCGCCAAUAUGUAUAAUUAUUGGUGCGCUUGUAAUAAUUUGUUGAGCCCCCUUAGCUCAACCCUGUAAUGUAUUAUAUGCUACUGGCUUAUUGUAUCCAGAGUUUGUCUACCAGUGAGGGGGAUUUUCUCUCAUACUGGACUCAAGAGAUUGGUUUCUUCAAUACAUAUUUUUAUUGGAAAAAGCGGUCGUGACAAGCUUGGUAUCAGAGCCAGGCUGAGUGUAGGAAGCCACUAGGUGCGAUCGCUAAUCGGUUAUUAGCAUGAUAGAGCUUAUUCAUGUUUUUGCAAUCGUAGUCAUUUUUCUGACAGUCAGCAUAUAUUUAUGAUCUGACCAUUCAAAAUUUUUGCCUACUUGUGUAGAUGGCCGACCACAGCUGCGAGUCUCAAACCUUCGCCAACGUGCCCGAUGGGUUCGUCAAGCUUCUCUCCUUCGUCCUUCAGAUCGCGAUGGGGCCAUCUGUGCGCCCAGUCGUCACUCUCUGUCAGCACAGAGUCAACGACAGUCUGACCAUGCACCAGGCCGCGGUGCAGUUUAAGGGAGGGCGUGGUGAGUUACGCCGCUUCCGGUUCUUAGGAAGAGCCAUGCCUAUGGAGAAGCAUGCUAUCCAGAUGGCAGCCCGCGAGGCGAUAGCUCGCCUCAGGGACGUCCUUCCCAUUAUGAAGACUCGUCGCUACCGCUAUCUUCGAUGCCAUGUUCCAUACACCUGUCACUAUGCGUUCUCUUGCCCCAGAGGAGAAUGAGAUGAGGCAUUUGAGAUGCUUAUUGAGUAUCUCCGGGCCUUGGAGGCAGCCUUCGACAACUUGGUGGACGACUUCGUGGCCGCCCGCAUGGACUCAGUCCAUGGUUGUGCCGCCAACAGGAGGGAGCUCCUGCCCACCGCUCCGCCACUGACUUUUUUCUCGUCCUCAGCAUCCCAUGCACCUGCUCGUCGACUGCCUACCACCAAGGAGUUCAACUGAGCCAUUACGCCCACUGCAACGCGCACUGCACCACCCUUCGCGCCUACUCCAGUUCGUGUGGUUCCGCCCCUGGCACCCGCUCCAUCUACUUGGCGCAGCACUACUCGUAUGGAGCCUAUUAGCGAGGAAGAAGUCGAGUCCCCGGCUUCGCUACGCCUCACCCAUGGCAGGGCCAAGGAUAUCAUUAACAUCUCCGACUGAGUACGCUUAGCCGCCAUGCGCUGUACCGCCUUGCAAGAAAUGUUGUGAGAAGUAGCUUGUUUGCGCAUCAUGUAGGAUCUGGAGAAGUGCACUAGCCUAAAUAACAUGUCAGGAUUAUGUACGCAUAUCCUAAGUGAUGUAUUGUAUAAUUAUCGCCGCGUGUAAGAUACGUAAUGAGAAGUCUUUCUCCAUGCGCAAAUCGAUUUGUUUUCCCUUGAGAAAUCUUGGCUUUAAAAUUUAUUUGCCAACCUUGUGCAUUUACUUUUGCAACCCUUCCAUUUUUCUUAUGGGUUUUACAAAAUAUAUCCCCAGAGUGAAAAAUGUCUCGUCCUUGGACUCGCUCCAUGCCAGCUCCACCAGAGGAAAAUUGUGGCAAUCAACCGGGCAACAAUUUUGCACAAGGGUAGUCAAGUGAAUACUACGAUACUCAGCCAAGCAACAAUUUCACACAAGGUCAGUCAAGUCAACAGGACAGUGAAACGGCACUCGCCCAAAUGUGCUGCCUUUAUGAGCAGAGUCAGUAACAACAUCGAGAAAUGAUGAACCAAGUCAUUAACAUGGGAAAUCACCAUGGGCAGUAUCCGCAGCAUUCCAAGUUAUCUGAGCUACAGAAGACACGUCCCUUAACAUUUUCUCAUACCGACAAGCCACUUGAGGCCGAAGACUGGCUUCGAGAUAUGGAGAGAAAAUUAAUUAUUGCAAAAUGUUCAGACCCCGAGAAGGUACUUUAUGCUCCGCACUAUCUCACAGGAGCCGCUGCAUCUUGGUGGGAGAAUUUCUUACACAUGCAUUCCAACGAAAAUGAUAUAACUUGGGAUGGUUUCAAGGAAGGUUUCCGCGGUGCACACAUUCCUAGGAGUAUUAUGAAAAUCAAGAAAAGAGAGUUCGAUGACCUCAAGCAAAGGAACAUGACAGUGUCAGAUUACAACGGUCAAUUUACUCUAUUAUCCCGCUACGCCAAUGAAGAGUGCAUGACAGAAAACAAGAAGAUGGAGAAAUUCCUUGAUGGCCUAGCACCCGCGCUUAAAUGCCAACUAGUUGUGCACAUUUUUCCAGAUUUUAAGAUACUAGUGGACAAGGCCAUUACUCUGGAAAAUGAGAGACGCGGUUUGGAAGAUAUCCGCAAGCGAAAGAGGGACCAGACUAACCAUGCUCGCAAUCACCGAAGCAAGACAAAUUUUCAAAAGGGUGGGACACACAAAUCAUCAUCCAACGUCUCACGCCCAACAAAGAAUUUCCAUGCUAGGGACAAGGAGUUCACAUAUCGCACAUGUGUUACUUGUUACGCCUGUGGAGAAGAAGGGCAUUAUGCCAAGCAAUGUCCCAAGCCUAGAAACUCAGCACCAAAGCCGAACAACGGCAACAAUAAUUCAGCGCCCAAGCGAAACAAUUUCAAUCCCAACAAUAACCACAGGAAGGGUCAUCUGAACCACGUGACCAAAGAGGAGGCACAAAAUGCUCCGGAUAUCGUACUCGGUACGUUUCCUGUCAACACAAUACCUACAAUGGUUUUGUUUGAUUCUGGAGCUUCUCACUCUUUUAUUUCGAAAAGCUUUGCUUUGCAAAAUAAUUUUUCGAUGCUUCCUUUGGAAAAAUCCAUGAUCAUCAAGUCCCCUGGGAUUCAGCAAGUCACUCAGAGUUACUGUCAGGAUGUGAUUAUUGAGUUCAAAGGAUUGAAGUUUCACGCCAAUCUCAUUGUGUUGGAAAAUAAAGGACUAGAUGUCAUCCUAGGGAUGGACUGGUUAACCAACAACAAAGGUUUUAUUGACUGUUUCAAUCGGACCGUGAUUCUCACACACCACCAUGGUAAGACAAUAAGAGUAUCCGCCAAAGAAAGGGAAAUGCCCAGGCAACCGAGAUUGAACAAGGUGGAUAUUUCUGAAUUGAACAAAGUUCCAGUCGUGUGUGAAUUUCCAACGUAUUUCCUGAAGAGCUACCAGGCAUGCCACUAGACCGAGAAAUAGAAUUCAGCAUUGAGCUAGCACCAGGAACCACCCCCAUAUACAAGAAACCAUACAGAAUGGCACCGGCCGAGUUGGUUGAGUUGAAGAAGCAAAUAAAGGUAUUGCUGGACAAGGGAUACAUUCGAGCCAGCUCCUCACCUUGGGGAUCACCAAUUCUUUUUGCCAAAAAGAAAGAUGGAACACUGAGAUUGUGUAUUGACUACCGAGCACUUAACAUGGUCACGAUAAAAAACAAAUACCCGAUGCCACAGAUAAACGAUUUGUUUGAUCAACUUGCUCGGGCCGAGGUAUUCUCAAAGAUAGACUUAAGAUCAGGAUACCAUCAAUUAAAAGUACGAACCAAGGAUAUUUCCAAGACAGCAUUCACCUCUAGAUAUGGACUAUAUGAGUUCACAGUAAUGCCAUUUGGGUUAACAAACGCCCCCGCAUAUUUUGUUCACCUCAUGAACAAGGUAUCUAUGAAGUUUAUGGACAAGUUCGUUGUGGUAUUCAUCGACGAUAUUCUGGUAUACUCCAAGACGCCAGAAGAGCAUGUAGAACACCUCAGGAUUGUGCUGGGAGAACUCAGGAAACACCAAUUAUAUGCCAAAUUCAGCAAGUGUGAAUUUUGGCUAAGACAAGUAGGCUUUGUAGGCCACGUACUGACCCAAGACGGUAUCGCAAUAGACCCAGAAAAAGUCAAGGCCGUACUUGGCUGGAAGUCACCAGCCAGCGUAACAGACAUACGGAGUUUCUUGGGAAUGGCAGGAUAUUACCACAGAUUUAUUGAAGGAUUCUCCACCAUAGCCAAACCAAUGACGCAAUUGCUCAAGAAAGAUAAGAAGUUUGAAUGGACAGAAGCCUGUGAGAAAAGUUUCCAAGAGCUAAAACGGAAAUUAACAACAGCACCAGUAUUAAUUGUGCCAGACAUACACAAGAAUUUUGAAGUAUAUUGUGACGCGUCCAGAAAGGGACUCGAUGCGUGUUAAUGCAAGAAGGCAAGGUUGUCGCAUACGCUUCAAGGCAACUUCGCAAGCAUGAGGAAAAUUACCCCACUCAUGACUUAAAAAUGGCAGCAGUUAUUCAUGCACUCAAGGAAUGGAGGCAUUUCCUACUUGGAAAUCGAUGUGAAAUAUAUACGGACCAUAAAAGUCUCAAAUAUAUCUUCACACAGCCAGAACUGAAUUUAAGGCAACGACGUUGGUUAGAGCUAGUGAAGGAUUACGAUGUCGGUAUCCACUACCAUCCAGGAAAAGCGAAUGUAGUAGCCGAUGCUCUUAGUCGGAACCCCAGCUCCAAUAACACCAGUCUGCCCGACUUAAGACCCGAAUUCCAACAAGAAUUUGCCAGACUCAACUUAUUGAUGGUAGUAGAAGGCACCAUAAUAAACUUAGAGAUACAACCCAACCUUAUGGAAAGAAUCAAAGACGCCCAGCCUGGUCACCCCAGCAUCGAAGGCAUCAAAAGGAAGGUGAGUAUAGGCAAGGCCUCGGAAUUCAUCGUAGACAAAGAAGGGACACUACGGUACAGAAACAGACUCUGCGUGCCAAACAUAGAAGACCUCAAACAGCAAAUUCUCGCUGAAGCCCACACCGUUCCAUAUUCGAUCCACCCUGGAGGAACCAAGAUGUACAAGGAUAUCCAGGAAAGAUUUUGGUGGCACGGUAUGAAGAGGGACAUAGCCACCUUCAUUGCAUGCUACGACUCUUGUCAACGCAUAAAAGCUGAACAUCAGAGACCAGCCGGACUACUACAACCAAAAAAAAUACCUGAGUGGAAAUGGGAUGAAAUAGGGAUGGAUUUCAUUGUCGGACUUCCCCGGUCACGACACGGGAAUGAUGCCAUAUGGGUUAUCACCGACUGGUUAACUAAGGUGGCACAUUUCAUUCCAGUAAAGACGACCCACACCACUCAGAAGCUCGCCAGGAUAUAUCUCUCUCGCAUAGUUUGUCUGCACGGUGUCCCGAAGACGAUAAUAUCCGAUAGAGGAACACAGUUCGUCUCGAGAUUCUGGGAACAUUUACAACAGGCUUUGGGAACUCAACUAGCCUUCAGUACGGCAUACCACCCCCAGACAGAUGGACAGACAGAACGGGUAAACCAGAUUUUAGAGGACAUGCUGAGGGCAUGUGUCCUCACCUAUGGAACCAGUUCGGAAGACAGCCUGCCAUAUGCCGAGUUCGCGUACAACAACAGUUAUCAGGCCAGCCUGCAAAUGGCACCAUUUGAAGCUCUAUACGGACGGAGAUGUCGUACCCCGUUAAAUUGGUCAGAGACCAGAGACAGCCGUAUCUUCGGCCCAGACAUGCUCAAGGAAGCCGAGGAAAAGGUCCAGCUAAUCAGAGAUCGACUCAAGACUGCCCAAAGCCGACAAAAGAGUUAUUACGAUCAGAAACAUUGUGGGGUCAACUUCGAACCCGGUGAAUUCGUGUACCUACGAGUGUCACCUAUAAGGGGAUUACAACGAUUCAAGAUAAAAGGAAAGCUAGUGCCAAGAUUCAUAGGACCAUUCUGUAUAACGGCACGAAAAGGCACAGUAGCCUACCAGCUAGACCUACCUAAAGAACUGUCAGAUAUCCACAACGUGUUCCACGUAUCGCAAUUAAGAAAGUACGUAAGAAACCCAGAGAAACAAGUAUCCCACAAGAACAUAGACGUGCAGCCAGACCUCUCCUAUAGGGAACACCCAGUAAAAAUAUUAGAGGAGUCUGAAAGGAGGACUCGACAGAAUGCCAUCAAAUUUUUCAAAGUUCAGUGGAGUAAUCACACCAAAAGUGAAGCAACGUGGGAAAGAGAGGAUUUUCUUCGAACAGACCAAAAACCUUGCUGGUUUUUCUUUUGUGAAAUAAGGGUUUUUAAAGAAAAUAUCCAAAUAGACCAUCCCCUUAAAAAUCUUUUUCUUUGGCUAGGAUUGUUAUUUCUGUUUUCUUCUUCAAGCCUUGGGUUUGGUCAUUUAAAACUUCUCCUCUGUUGGUUCCCUUCCCAAAUAAAUAUAUUUUUUGGGAGUUUAAUCUUUUUCUUUUUAAAAUAAAAACUCUAUGAAAAUUUGGGACUUUCAUUCUUUUGAUAACCACCCAUGACCUUGUAUUUUUGUCCAUGAGGUAAAACCACUCCAAAACCUCCUCUCCUCCUUGUUAUCAACGUAAGUUCCCUGUCCCAACUCAUCCAAACAAGUUUUGGAUUUUUAUUUUGAUUAUUUCAUCUCUCAAAUAUUUUCUGUCAAUUAUUUUGAGCCUGAUGGAUCUUCAAAGCAAGUACCCCAUUGCAAUUGAGAUUUGACUCCAAACCAACUCUACUAGCUAGUCCUUUGUACCCACAACCCAGAACCAUCUUGAUCCACUCAUCUUCUUUUCAAAUUUUUCAAAUUUCACUCCCUGCAAGUUUGGACCAGAUUUGCCAAAUUUGGUGAAUUUCAUAUCUACACUUCUCCAAAAAUUCCACCAAAAAUCAGGCAGCCUACUGGAGCAAUGAGGAGCCACUCCACCAAAAAUCAGCUCAAGGAAAAAUCCCUGCAUGCCAAAAGCAUUCUGUCGAGCACCUGAACUACACUGUUUCCUUGCACUUUCAAAAAUUCAGAGAAGUUCAGAGUUUCAGUUUCGUCAGACUUCGGUCACGCGGCCACAGUGCGCCCUGGCGCAAUGCACACGGCCCCAUCCCCUUGGCCAACACCCCGCACGCGCGCUUGGCCGAUUCCUGGCGUCGGUGGCGGUGAGCCUUGCCGGCGUUGGAAGCUUCUGCGGUGGCUGCGCCACCCGUGGCGGCCAGCGAGGGCCCGAGCCCAUCGCCACGCCACCUAGCGCCGCCCAACGCCCCCUGGCUCUCCGCGUGUCCCUGCCAUGCCAGCGCACGCCCGUGGCACCGUCGCCGUGUCCGGCAAGCAUGGGGCGUGCUCUCUGCCGCCGACGGACCCGCGCCGUCCCGUUCCGUCGAACUCCACCUAAGCAAGCAAAAUCCGGCGUUGUUGGCACCUAAACGGACUCCGUGAACCUCCACGACGGCGCUCAGCUCCUAAACUCUCCCGACCAAGCACUGCACCGCCGUAAUCCAUCGCCGGAGAACUCCGUUCUCGGCCACCGCCUCGGAUCGCCUAUAAAAGGAGACCCCAAGCUCUCCCUCGAGCACGCACCACCCCUACACUUCACCAACGCCCCGCCAGGCCACUGGGAGGACCUCGAGGAGGUCUCCUCCCCAACUCCGGCCACCCCGUUCCGCCUCGGCCUCCAGCUUGAUUCACUGCAGUGAGGUCAACUCCGGCGCCCAAGCUCCGUCAAUCACCUCCUCCAGCUACCAGAUACCUGACCCCCACCUCAAUUUGCACCUUGCGGUCCUCUCCGGCGAGCUCCACCCUCGCCCGAACCGCCGUCCGCCGGAGCAAGGGCCACCGUCGACACAGUGCACGCCGACGACCACCACCACCAACACUCGACGCGGAAUGGCGCCCUGAGCACGGAGGUAACCUCCGAUCCCUCUGCCUCGCCGUGGAUCGCCGCCGGCGAUCACCGCGGCUCUCUGGCGCCAAAAGCACCGCCCCGUUUUCAAACCCGACGGGUGGGACCGCCCCGUCAGGUUUCUUUCUUUUUUUUUGAAUCGUUUUCUGAAAACGCCUUCGGGCAAAAUACGUCUUCUCCUCUGAGCCGGCGUAUUUGAGACUGAAGCGUUUUCUGUUUUUAUAAAAAGAACCCUGGGAAGUUUCUGUUUCAUUACAGAUGGGUCACUGGACAAAAACCUUUAUAACAUUUUAACAGAAGCAUAUUUUUGAGUGAUUCUUUUUCUGUUCUCUUCAAAAUUUUGUCUAGUUUUUUAUCAGAUUUAUUUGAAAAAUAUUUGCAAUACUAUUUCUGCACCUCUCGGUAUUCAUGUUAGCGCGUAUGUUUUCUCUAUACCGUAGAUACCGAAGAAGGUGACGGAGCCGCGAACUUCACCGAGCUAGGCUCCGACUUUUCUGAACCAGGCAAGCAUGUUUGAACUUUUGAUAUGAUGAGUGUCUUGGCAUGUUUUGCAUUUAGUUAGUCUCACGGCAUGAUGUGAGCAUACCGAUGAACGUGAUUUUCAUGCAUCGUUGAUGCAAGUAAGUUCAAUGAUCCAUACAUAGUUGGAUGUGAGCAUGCAAGGCCAUGUGUUGGCAUGUAGAUCGGUGAGAUGGCAGUGUUGUAGCAUGCCAGUCUUAUGCCAUGCAAGUUGACUUCAGUACCAACCCGUAUCGGUUUGGUUCCUAUCCAUUUCCCUUCCCUGUACUACCACAUGUAUCUCGCAAGAGAUAUGGUUUAGUAAGUUGCAAGCCACUUUCCUGGUACACACCAAAAAGGAGAGGCCAGGAUGAUGGUUCCAUGGCCCUGGAUUAAAGCCAGUCAUCCGGUCAGGGGGCAUGGGUGUUUCCGGUUGGGACCGAGAGGGGGGCACCCCUUACAGCGCGCGUAUAUAAAUUUGAUCCCAUGCCAUUCGAGAUUGUGAUCUCCCCGUCUCAAAAGUUUUUCUUGGUCAAUGUCUAGGGUGAUUCCUGGCAUCGAGAAGUUGGAUGGGUGUGUACUGGUUAGUUGUGUUUUCUUCUGAAAUACCGUAAACGGAACUAGUCCUCGUGACUACGGAAAUCCGUUAACUAUGGGAAAUUUUUGUACAAACUCUGCAUAGUCAUAAAUCUUCAGUCUAUCUUAUCCAUAUCCAAGUUCCGUGCUAACUAACAAGUGCCAGUUUUGGUGACAGAUUAUCCGGUGAGACACAUGAGUGCUAAGUCCGGUUAAAUAUUUAAUCCUGUGAAUGGACUAACCCGUUCAUUUUCAAGAGUGGAAUACUCAUUAUGAACAUUAUUACCGCGACAGUACAAGCCCUUUCUGUGAUGUCGCUCAGACAUCCGACUGUGGCAUUGUUAUUAUUUAAUUUUAGUAACAGCCCUUUCUGUGAUGUCGCUUAGACGUCCGACUGUGGCAUUGUUAUUAUUUACUUUCAGUAACAGCCCUUUCUGUGAUGUCGCCCAUACGUCCGACUGUGGCAUUUUAUUAUUUACUUUCAGUAACAGCCCUUUCUGUGAUGUCGCUCAGACGUCCGAUUGUGGCAUUUUAUUAUUUACUAUCAGUAACAGCCCUUUCUGCGAUGUCGCUCAGAUGUCCAACUGCGGCAGUAUUGUUAUUUUUUCUUUCAAUGCAAAGCCCAUUCUGUGAUGUCGCCCCGACGUCCGCCUGUGGCACGCAUGUAUUUUAUUUUCGGUUAAAGCCCUUUAUGUGGUGUCGCUCAGACGCCCGACUGUGGCAUAAGCAUUAUUUUCUUGUUCACCUUUCGUGGCGUCACUCUAGACACUCGAUUGGUUUCCAUUAAUUUUUCUGUUGGGAUUUCAGGCGGACUACCGCCGAUUCCUUUUUACUUACCUUGCCUGCUAAUAUUUCAAUUAUGCUUUGGUAAAUUAACCAUGACGCAUUCAUGCAUGCAUUUGUUAUAUCUUAUGUCCGAACUGUCUUGCGAGUACUUUCAAAGUACUCACUAGCUUGUGGAUUUGGCCAGAUGCUGACGAAGGCGAUCUCAUGGAUGAAGAGUUCGACAGCGAGUCCGACGCCUAGAGGAGUCCCAGUCAGUCUCGUGCGACCCUGGAGUUGGUCACUAUAUUACAUCCGCUCCCGCUACCCAAAUAAAUUCAUCGAGCCUCACCUAGACGCUCAGUGAAAUGCUAGUUUGAGAGACACGUUAAUCUCUCCCCACUGAGCUAUUCCACCAUCACUCUACCCUCGAGUCAGUAGUAUGCCACCACCCCGCCGUGUUAUGUCCGCCAAUAUGUAUAAUUAUUGGUGCGCUUGUAAUAAUUUGUUGAGCCCCCUUAGCUCAACCCUAUAAUGUAUUAUAUGCUACUGGCUUAUUGUAUCCAGAGUUUGUCUACCAGUGAGGGGGAUUUUCUCUCAUACUGGACUCAAGAGAUUGGUUUCUUCAAUAAAUAUUUUUAUUGGAAAAACCGGUCGUGACAAUGCAAUGCGCUUGAAGAUUAGAAAGAUUAGAAAAUAUGCCGUUCAUAUCAAGGCUUGGUAUCAUUAUGCCGUUGGAUCAAUUGUUACCUUGGUUGCGAUUAUGAUCGCGUUUGUUUUCACAUUGAAAUGUUUUACAUAGUUUCAAUGUAUGGUUUAAUUAAUUAGAUGCUCUGGAGAGCUAUAUGUGGUCAGAUGAGAACUAUGUAUGUACUUUGGUUUUAAUGUGAUGAUGAACUUAUAUUAAUUUGGUCACUUAAUUAUCUAUUCAUGAUGUUCUGUAAUGGUUUUGACACACUUAAUUAUAUAUAAUGCACGCAGAUGAACCGGCAAUGGAUGUACGGUGACAGACACACCUCGGAGUACAUUAAGGGCGUGCAUGAAUUUCUUGAAGCGGCUGAGGCAAACAAGCAGAAUGGUUUUAUGUGUUGUCCACGCCCUAAUUGUGGGAAUACGAAGUCUUACUCUGACCGGAAAAUCCUUCACACCCACGUGCUUUACAAGGGUUUCAUGCCACACUAUAAUGUUUGGACAAGGGACGGAGAAAUAGGGGUUAUGAUGGAAGACGACGAAGAAGAAGAGUACGAUGACAACUAUGUGCCCCCUGAAUAUGGUGAUGCUGCAACGGGGGGAGCUGGUGAAGAUCAACAGGAACCAGACGAUGUGCCUAAUGAUGCUGCAACGGGUGAAGCUGCUGAAGAUCAAGAGGAACCAGAUGAUGUGCCCGAUGAUGAUGAUCUCCGCGGGUCAUUGUCGAUGCAAGGACGCAAUGCGAAAGUUAAAAGGAAAAGCUGAAGUUCGAUCGCAUGUUAGAGGAUCACAAAAAAGGGUUGUACCCCAAUUGCGAAGAUGGCAACACAAAGAUCGGUACCGUACUAGAAUUGCUGUAGUGGAAGGCAGAGAAUGCUGUGCCUUACAAAGGAUUUGAGAAGCUACUGAAAAUAUUGAAGAAGAAGCUUUCAAAGGAUAACGAAUUGCCCGACAGUACAUACACAGCAAAGAAGGUCGUAUGCCCUUUAGGGUUGGAGGUGCAGAAGAUACAUGCAUGCCCUAAUGACUGCAUCCUCUACCGCGGUGCAUACAAGGAUCUGAACGCAUGCCCGGUAUGCGGUGCAUUGCGGUAUAAGAUCAGACGAGAUGACCCUGGUAAUGUUGACGGCGAGCCCCCCAGGAAGAGGGUUCCUGCGAAGGUGAUGUGGUAUGCUCCUAUAAUACCACGGUUGAAACGUCUGUUCAGAAAUGGAGAGCAUGCCAAGUUGAUGCGAUGGCACAGUGAGGACCGUAAGAAAGAUGGGAAGUUGAGAGCACCCGCUGACGGGUCGCAGUGGAGAAAAAUUGAGAGAAAGUACUGGGAUGAGUUUGCAAAGGACCCAAGGAACGUAUGGUUUGCUUUAAGCGCGGAUGGCAUUAAUCCUUUAGGGAGCAGAGCAGCAAUCACAACACCUGGCCCGUGACUCUAUGUAUGUAUAACUUUCCUCCUUGGAUGUGCAUGAAGCGGAAGUUCAUUAUGAUGUCAGUUCUCAUCCAAGGCCCUAAGCAACCCGGCAACAACAUUGAUGUGUACCUAAGGCUAGUAGUUGAAGAACUUUUACAGCUGUGGAAUGGAAACAGUGUACGUACGUGGGAUGAGCACAAACAAGAAGAAUUUAACCUAAAGGCGUUGCUGUUCGUGACCAUAAACGAUUGGCCCGCUCUCAGUAACCUUUCAGGACAGAUAAACAAGGGAUACCACGCAUGCACGCACUGUUUGGAUGACACCGAAAGUAUAUACCUGGACAGAUGCAGGAAGAAUGUGUACGUGGGCCAUCGUCGAUUUCUCCCGACCAACCAUCAAUGUCGAAAGAAAGGCAAGCAUUUCAAAGGCGAGACAGAUCACCGAAAGAAGCCCGCCAUGCGUACCGGUGAUCACAUACUUGCUAUGGUCAAUGAUUUACACGUAAUCUUUGGAAAGGGUUCUGGCGGACUAGCUAUUCCGAAUGACGCUGAGGGACGCGCACACAUGUGGAAGAAGAAAUCUAUAUUCUUCGACCUACCCUACUGGAAAGAGCUAGAGGUCCGCUCUUCAAUCGACGUGAUGCACGUGACGAAGAACCUUUGCGUGAACCUGUUAGGCUUCUUGGGCGUGUAUGGGAAGACAAAAUAUACACCUGAGGCACGGGAUGACCUAUGACAUUUGCACGAAAAAGAACAUGCCUCCGAAGCAGUAUGAAGGUCCUGCCAGCUACGCUCUUACGAAAGAAGAGAAAGCAUUUUUCUUUGAAUGCCUGCUCAGUAUGAAGGUCUCGACUGGCUUCUCGUCGAAUAUAAAGGGAAUAAUAAAUAUGCCAGAGAAAAAGUUCCAGAACCUAAUGUCUCAUGAGUGCCACGUGAUUAUGACGCAACUACUUCUGGUCGCAUUGAGGGGGCUUCUACCAGAAAACGUCCGAUUAGCCAUUGUGAAGCUAUGUGCAUUCCUCAAUGCAAUCUCUCAGAAGGUGAUUGUCGGUGUACAAAAAGAGGGGUACACCUUUUGUACCCCUAUAACUGUGCACGGGCAGUCUGAGCCACGGGCACCACCACACUGAGCAAGGCAAGGGAGGUGAGGCAAGGUAAGACCGACGCUCGAGAGAAGCAGAACGACGCCAAGACCAAGACCACAAAGAGCAAAGGGGACGAAGCGGACUCCCCCGGCAAGAUCCUUGCCGGGAGGCGGUUUUAGCAAACCCGGCAAGACCCUUGCCAUGGCAGCUCGCCCCACACCUACGGAGCGAUUCACCCGUGAGUCCACUGCCCCCAUGCGGCAAGGAUUCGGGAGACAUCCCCGUGGUGGCAUCCAGAUCUUUGUGAAGACAUUCAAGAUUAGAUACACACUUUGGAAAGAUGAUGAUCCUCGGCGGGAUCCCAGCCAAGGAGGACCACAAGGCCCCCGGCAAGAGCCUUGCCGGGGAUGACAGCAGGCGCCACGGCAAGACCCUUGCCGGGGCCCCGGCAAGGCCCUUGCCAUGAACACCCGUAGGGCCACCAUCAGGCCCACGCCAAUCAGACCUCCACCACCGUUCGCAUGCAGCUGCCGACCCAACCAGCUGGGCAGGCACCUGCGUGGCGGCAUGCGAAUCAAUGUGGAGACCCACCACUCCGCCACCUCAGCUGCCUGCCUGCCUACAUGGCACCAAGGGCACCGCUGGCCAGGGCGCGUGUCAACGCAAGAGGGAGCGGCGACGGACGAGAGAGGGCUCUCCCCCGUCCCGGAUAAAGCAAGUACACCUAAGCAAGACACAUUAAAUGCACCUUGUCAUAUAAUUCGAGGGAUAACCUCGCAUCACUGUGCCCUUUCCACCUCCUGUGUGCCACUGUGGCAACCCCUUUCUCGAUAAAAGGAGGCCCAAGGCGACCAGGAGGGGGAUUCGGCUUUUUGGAGCUCCUCACGCCCCAUUGCUAGUUUAAGAACACAGAUAAACAAUCCACCAAAGCAGGAGUAGGGGUUUACGCAUCCUCGCGGCCCAAACCUCGAUAAAGAAACCGUGUGCUAUCUGUUUGAUCCGCUGUUCUCACGAGCCCGCGCCCCGCAACCGUAGUAGGGAUUCUUGUGAUCCCAUUGGUGUCGUUCCCACCGACAUCUUUGGCGCGCUAGGUAGGGGGCGUAGUUGUGAGAAUCGGCUUUAGCAGUUAGUUCGACGCUUCUUCACCGUCAUGGCGCCCAAGAAGAAGACGACGGUGGCGAUUGGCCCGUCGGAAGCCGGACAUCCCGUCCCGACGCGGGCGAGCAGUGGACCGGUCGCAGAAAGGACCCGGGGCGCCGUUCGCGAACACCAACACCGUCCCAGCAGCCGAAGUUUGGGAGGCGGCGAUGUUCAUGCGCCUGGUAACGGGCCGCACGCCGCCAAAUCCAAAGACGGAGCCAGGCCCUCCGCGGGUGGCGAGGGGCCUUCCAAGAUCACUGCCACCCCGCCCGAAGGCAACGCGAGGGCUUCCAAGACUCCCACGCCGGCGCCGCCGACGUGGUCCUCUCAAGCGGCACGCGACGAACGACGUAAUCAUGCCGAAGACCCCGGGCAUCGCCGCGGAAAGAGCCCCAAGCGCCACUCCCGGGAUGUAGAAGACCUGCCCUCUCGCCGAGGCGCUGGUGAAGAUGGCAUGUGACCAUGGGGUCAUGAUAGAGCUCCUUCUGACAUGGUCAGAAGUCGAAGCACGUCGCGAUCCAUGCAGGUUUCGCUGCCACCAACACCAGCAGAAGCCCUGGCACGCGCACAGUUGCUCCUCGAUUUUCCUCCCACUACAGGGAAACUCGACGAAUGGAGAGCCACUAUCCGAAGCCUUGUUGCGGUGGCCAACAAAGAUGAACCGAGUCCGGUGGAGCCCCCGGGUCGACGCUCCGAUGGAGUCCCAUGCACCAGUGGCAGGAAAGCCGGCGGCACCACGACCACGGUGUACUCGCCUCCUCCUCGCCUGGUACCGCGGACGCCAGCCAGUCGCGACAUUACGGGCAACGAAAUCUCCAUAGCGUCAUCCGACCCGCGGACCCACUGUGACCAGUGCCAAGUUCUUUGGGAACGAGAACAUGAAGACGCUCGAACCACUAUUGAGGGCCGGCGCGGAGCGCGCCACCAAUCAGACAGGCAAGCAGGGCCUGCUGUGAACCACCAGGCACCGGAGAGCCCUGGAGGCCUACCUUACGAGGUAGGCUGUCCGGCUUUUACCCGUGAGCUGCGGCAAUUCCAGUGGCCCACUCACCGCACCUUCAAACCUGACGUGGGCGAAAAGUACAGCGGCAAGACCGACCCGUCCGAGUUCCUCAACAUCUACACCAUCGCGAUGCAAGCUGCCAGAGCCCGUGACGAUAAGGUGCUUGUGAAUUACUUUCCGUUGGCUUUUAAACCCAACGCCAUGUCAUGGUUGUUGCACUUGCCGGUAGACUCUAUUUCCUCCUGGUCGGAUUUGUGCCAUGAGUUCGUGGGCGCCUUUACUGGAGGCCACCAAGCCCAUGGCCAAGCAAGCGACCUGCACGUCAUUCCCCAGAAGGGAGGCGAGAGUCUCCGCAAGUAUAUACAGAGGUUCAGCCGGAUACAGUACAAUAUCCCUGAUGUUCACCCUGCCGCCAUCAUCGGCGUGUUCCAUCAGAACGUGCGUAACCGCAAGAUGCGCGAAGAGCUGGCAAUGAACAAGGUGAAAGAUGUAGCAGAGCUCUAUGUUCUUGCUCACAGAAGUGCCCGAGCUGAAGAGGGAAGGAAGUACCCCGGCGAAGAUGUCGGCGUGGAAACUGACUCCUCAUAUGAGGAUACUGCCGCCCCGGAGAAGAAGGGACGGCGCCGCAACAAGAAACGCAAAGGUAAAGCCGUGCUUGCCGUUGAGGGAUCUGAUGACACUGGCUCCACCAAGAAAACCAAGGCAGAUGACCCCGGCAAGGAAGUUGCCGGAUGUGUCGCCUGCCGGGCCUUGGCGGCUGCCGAGAAGCCAGGAAACUCCGACAAGCGAUACUGCAAGAUCCAUCGCACCAAAGGCCAUGCUCUCCAAGACUGCCAACAGGUUGAGCCCCUUGCUGAGAAGCAGAGGGCUGAGUAUGAAAGGCGGGACAAGGAGAAGGGCCAAGACGGUGCUGAGGAGUCCGGCAAGAAGCGUGACAGCCAGGCGGGCCGUCGCGGCAAGGAUAAACAACAGGAGAGGCCCGCCCAGGGCCGUGACAGAAAGCUAGAAGACGACGAUCGUGAAGAGGACGACGAAUCCGGCGACCAAGAGUUUCAGAAAGCUACAGAGGCCAUGUGCGUCGACGGCGGCGCCUCGCUGCAUACUUCUCACCGCCGGCUUAAAUAGUGGGCGCGAGAGAUUACAGCAGCAGAGCCGUCGUUUGAUGCCCAAAGGCCGCUGAAGUGGUCUGGCACACCUAUCAUUUUUGACACUGAGGAUCACCCUGAUCGCACUACUGCGGUCGGGUGCUUGCCAUUGUUGGUUUCACCAACAAUACGCAACCUCAAGGUGACAAAGAUGCUAGUCGAUGGCGGGUCCGGUCUGAACUUGAUCUCGCCUGCCGUGAUCGAGAAAUUGCAGAUUCCUGAUGGAGACCUCGAAGAGACGGGCACGUUUCAGGGGGUCAACCCGGGAAGAAUCCAACCCAAGGGAAAGGUCACGCUGCCCGUGACUUUUGGAAGCGACCUGAACUACAGGACGGAGAGGAUCGUGUUUGAUGUUGCCAAGAUCCCCUUGCCCUACAACAGGAUCCUUGGCCGCCCAGCGUUGGCCAAGUUCAUGGCGGCGUCACACUAUGCCUACAACACCCUAAAGAUGCCAGGGCCUGUGACAAUCAUCACCAUCCCCUCCGAUAAGAAAGACGCACUGAUUUGCGCUGACCAACUAUACCAGCAAGCAGUUGCAGCAGCUGCUGCCACUAGGGCACUUUCUGCUGCCGCUGGGACCCCGGGAGGGACGAAGAAGAAGAAGACCGGUGCGACAUUGGACACCCACUCCGGCAAGCGCACCUCUUCUGAGUGUAGCGCUGCCGUCGAGGACGUGCCAGAGAGCUCCACCGGCAGAAACAAGAAGCCCAGGGCCAUACCGUCGGGAACCAAGAAGGCUUCUGUCAAUGAGGACGGCACGGGAGGAGCUUUCACCAUAAGCUCCACCCUUGACGACAAAUAGGAAGACGCGCUCGUCACCUUCCUGUGGGCGAAUGUCGAUGUGUUUGCAUGGCAAGCUUUCGACAUCCCCGGCGUUCCCAGGGAGGUGAUUGAGCACCACCUUGCUGUCUGUCCUCAUGCACAGCCCGUCAAGCAGAAGGUCAGAAAGCAAGCUUUGGAACGACAAGAGUUCAUCACAGAAGAGAUCCGGAAACUGGAAGCAGCGGGUUUGGUAAGAGGAGUGCUCCAUCCAACGUGGUUGGCCAAUCCGGUCGUAGUGCGCAAGGCAAAUGGGAAGUGGAGGCUGUGUAUUGAUUACACAGAUAUCAAUAAGGCUUGUCGUAAAGACCCCUUCGCGUUGCGCGCAUCGACCAGAUUUUUGACUCCACAGCUGGGUGUGAUCUGUUGUCAUUCCUCGAUGCCUACUCCGGCUACCACCAGAUCUUCAUGACAAGAGAAGACAAAGAGAAAACAGCAUUCAUCACCCCAUGUGGUACGUAUUAUUUCAUGCGGAUGCCUUUCGGGUUGAAGAGUGUUGGUUCGACGUUUGAAAGGGCGGUCCAGAUUGGUUUUGAACCCCAGCUCCAUAGAAAUAUGGAAGCUUAUAUGGAUGACAUAGUGGUCAAAACCAAGGACAGGGCAACCCUCAUACCAGAUUUGCAAGAAACAUUUGCAAACCCACGUAAGAUCAAUCUCAAGAUGAACCCUGAGAAGUGCGUAUUUGGCGUCCCAUCCGGCAAGCUUCUCGGGUUCUUUGUGUCACAGCGUGGGAUAGAGGCCAAUCCGGACAAGAUCAAAGCUAUAGAGCAGAUUGAAGCACCCAAGGGAAUCAAGGAUGUGCGUCGGCUUGCUGGUUGCGUCGCCGCCAUGGGCAGGUUCAUUUCCAAGUCUGCCGAGCGCGCCCUUCCCUUUUUCAAGAUCCUGAAAAAGGCGGGACCGAUGGAGUGGACGCCAGAAGCCGAAGCAGCAUUGCAUGAUUUGAAGAAGUACCUCUCCUCCGCGCCGAUAAUAGUUGCGCCUAGGCCACAGGAGCCGUUGCUGCUAUACCUGGCGGCAAAGAACCAGGUGGUCAGCGCCGCACUAGUGGCGCAGAGAGAGGUUGACGACGAGGUAAUGGCAGGGACAGAGCCCGACACCACCAAUGCAGAGACGACACAGCCAGUUGAAGUGCCGCCGAAGAAGAAAAUGAUGCAGCACCCGGUCUACUUUGUUAGUUCCGUCCUGCAGGAGGCUAGAUCAAGGUACUCCAGCGUGCAAAAAUUAAGUGCUCUUCGGCCUUCUUAUGGCCUCGAGGAAGCUGCGUCACUACUUCCAGGCACACGAGAUCACUGUCGUCACUCGCUUCCCUCUGCAACGGAUAUUGCACAAUCCAAAUGCAAAGGGAAGAAUUGUGGAAUGGGCACAGGAGAUGUCCAGCUUUGGCCUCAAGUUUGAAAGUACUUCGACGAUUCAGAGCCGAGUCCUGGUGGAGUUCAUUGCAGAAUAGACCGCAAUGCCUGAUGAACAAGCCCAAGAGACUGCUCUCCCCGGCAAUGAGGCAAGUUGUGAUUGGAUCAUGUACUUUGAUGGAGCUUUCUCUUUACAAGGCGCCGGGACUGGCGUACUGCUUGUCGCGCCCACCGGAGAGCACCUCAAGUACGUGAUCUAGAUGCACUUCCACAGGGAGGUGUCAACAAACAAUACGGGAGAGUACGAAGGGCUGCUUGCCGGUCUCAGGAUCACGGCGGACCUCGGAAUCAAGAAACUCAUCGUCAGGGGCAACUCGCAGCUUGUCGUCAAGCAAGUGAACAAAUUUACCAGAGCCCGUUCAUGAAGGCCUACGUUCAUGAAAUGAGAAAGCUGGAAGAGCUUUUUGACGGCAUACAGGCUAAAUACUUUCCCCGAGCGAAGAACAACAUCGCCGACUACCUGUCAAAACGCACUGCCCUCAAGCUACCUGUGGAACCAGGUACCUUUGUGCUUCAGCUAACUCAGCCAUCCGUUGAUCCAUCAAUAGAGCAGAACAAGAGGAGGAAAUCAGGGCCCGACAAGUACUUUCCCGCCGAGCUCCCCGGAGCCGCCGGCAAGGAUGUUGCCGGGGACACUGAGCCCGCCACGGGACGGCUAGCUCCGGCGGAGCAUCAAGCUCUUGUCGUCGAGACAGCCGCUCCUAUAGCGGAGGACAUGCCUUUAGUCCUCGCCGUCGAGCCCCAGGCUCCAGCGUGGGCACAGCAUACCGUCCGAUUCCUCCAAACUGGGGAACUUCCUAAGGAGCAAGAAGAAGCGGAAAAAGUAGCCCGUCGCUCUACCAUGUACCAGUUCGUCGAUGACGUCCUGUACAGGAAGUGGCCGAAUGGUGUGAAAUUGAAGUGUAUCCCUCGAGAGGAAGGACUGGAGCUGUUGGCGUAGAUACACGGAGGCAUAUGUGGGUCCCACAUUGGGUCUAGGGCCCUUGCCGGAAGGCAUUUCGGCAAGGUUUCUUCUGGCCCACCGCCCUCCAGGAUGCGACAACACUAGUCACCAGAUGUGAAGCGUGUCAGUUCCAUUCAAAGAAGCUUCAUCAGCCAGCUCAAGCCCUUCAAACCAUUCCUCUCUCCUGGCCCUUCUCGGUUUGGGGGCUCGAAAUACUGGGCCCUUUCCCCCGCGCUAUCGCGGGCUUUGAGUACUUGUACGUUGCAAUCGACAAGUUCACAAAGUGGCCGGAGGUGGAGGAAGUGAGGAAGGUCACAGCUCAGUCAGCCGUCAAGUUCUUCAAGGGACUAGUGUGCCAUUUUGGCAUACCCAACAGGGUUAUCACCGACAAUGGCACACUGUUCACAAGCCACACCUUCAUGCAAUAUACCCAAGACCUCGGCAGCAAAGUCUGUUUUGCUUCCGUUGCUCACCCGCGAAGGAAUGGUCAAGCUGAGAGGGCAAAUGCUGAAGUACUGCGAGGCUUAAGGACCAAGACCAUUGACAGGCUGCACAAGAGUGGAAGGCACUGGAUUGAUGAGUUGCCCACGGUUCUUUGGUCGAUCAGGACGACGCCAUAUCGAGCCACCGGCCAGACACCCUUUGCCCUAGUAUACGGGGCAGAAGCAGUUCUCCCCACUGAACUCAUAUACGGGUCACCUCGGGUGCUCGCUUAUGAUGAGCUUGAGCAAGAGCAACUGCGGCAAGAUGACGCAAUGCUCCUUGAGGAAGAUCGUCUUCGGGCGGCUAUGAGAGCAGCAUGCUACCAGCAAGCCUUGCGCCGCUACCAUAGCCGCAAGGUUCAUGCCCGAAGCCUUGAGGAACGCGACCUUGUCCUUCGGAGCGUUCAAUUGGCCAAGAAUUCCAACAAGUUGAUGCCAAAGUGGGAAGGCCCUUAUCAGGUAAUACGAGUCACCAGGCCGGGUGCAGUCCGCCUGGAGACCGAAGAUGCCGUUCCGGUUAGUGACUCCUGGAACAUUGAGCAUCUUCGAAAGUUUUACCCGUGAGGCGCGGCUUGCCUGGCCCCUCGGCAAGCCACCUUUUGUACAAGCAUUGUCGAUGAUGCAUGUAACCCUUUGUACAAAGCCAGGCGCAGACCCUAAGCACAAAUAAAUGAAGCGCUGGCGCCCUACGUUAUAGCAUGCAUGCUAGGUCGAGUCUCGUCCUUGGUUAGGGUUGAUAGUUCUUAGCGGCGACUAACCCCUAGCUUAGAGGUCGAGUGUGCGUCUCUUUGCCGUUCAUUUGUCUUCUUUGGUUCGCAGGAUUCAUAGAUAUCCUUGCCGGAUCACUUGAGGACGAAAAAGAGAAGAGGGACAGAAUAGCAUCUAGACCCACGGCUACAAGUGCAAAGAUUCACCCACGGAAAACCAGAGGUGCCGGGGGCUACAGCUUCAGAUAAGUUCUUCAUCCCUUAUCAUGCAUUCCCUUAUGGACUGAGGUAUGUGAAACCUCGUUCCUUCCUAAAGCUACCAUGCUCCCCUAAACUCUAGGCCCUAGGGCUCGUUCCUGGGGCCAGGUUUGGUCAUAGUCACGGCAGCGAAAGGACGAAACAAGGAGCCUGAACCCAUCUCAUCCCUGCCUCCACCAAAAGCGUGAGAAAGGUCGAGCGACGUGGGAAGACGGCAAGGCCUGCUGCGAGGCAAGGAAAUGUUUAUCCUAGAGAUAUCAAGGAUUUACUCCUUGACGUGGGUUCUACCCACAAACAAAUGACCCGGCAAGCAUCCCUUUUUCAUUAAAAACAUUCACUCAGGUAUAGUCCAUAGGGAAUGAAAAACAUGAAUGAUGGGAUUACAAGUUUUAAAUUCAGCCAAGGCCCGAAGGCUUACAAGCUAAAAAGAGAUAAGGUGCCCGUAACCCCUUUCUUGUCCCUCUCCUCAGGAGGCAGGUCAAGGAGGCCCGGAGCUCAUGAGCAUCAACUGUCGAGGGGAAGAAGAAGGCAGACUUUGUCCGGUCCCCCAACAGCGUGCUCUCCGGUGGCUCCACGGUCCCGGAGCCCUUAGCCACCCCCUUGCCCUUGGCGGAUUUGGGCGCCAUGGCGGCCGAGAAGUCUAGAGUGUUGAGGAAGGGGGGUGGCAAAGCAGCGACGGUGGGUGACGAAGAAAUCUUAGGAAGGAAGAAAGAGAGGGAACGGCGGCUCUGAGAUUGGAAAAGGCAUGAGGGAAGAGGAGAAAGUGAGCAGCGCGCCCACGGUUAUUCCUUCUUAUGGGGGGAAGCGAGGGCCGCCUCCUUUCACAUUAACUAUGAUGUGAUGCAUGCCCGCGAGAAGCAACCCCACGCAUGCCGCCCACGUCACACACGCCUCCCCACACCGUGCCACGCGCGGGAGGCGUGGGAAGCACAGCGUGCGAAGUGACUUACCGCGGUAAAAACCGCCCCGCCUGCCCGCGCACGGUUUUUGGGCCUAGCCCAACGACGCGAUUGCGCUUAUUUGUGGCCCAGGCCCGAGGGCUCCUGUCGGUGUACAAAAAGAGGGGUACACCUUUUGUACCCUUAUAACUAUGCACGGGAAGUCUGAGCCACGGGCACCACCACACUGAGCAAGGCAAGGGAGGUGAGCCGAGGUAAGACCGAAGCUCGAGAGAAGCAGAACGACGCCAAGACCAAGACCACAAAGAACAAAGGGGACGAAGCGGACUCCCCCGGCAAGAUCGUUGCCGGGAGGCGGCUUUAGCAAACCCGGCAAGACCCUUGCCAUGGCAGCUCGCCCCACACCUACGGAGCGAGUCACCCUUGAGUCCACUGCCCCCAUGGGGCAAGGAAUCGGGAGACAUCCCCGUGGUGGCAUGCAGAUCUUUGUGAAGACAUUCAAGAUCAGAUACACACUUUGGAAGAUGAUGAUCCUCGGCGGGAUCCCAGCCAAGGAGGACCACAAGGCCCCCGGAAAGAGCCUUGCCGGGAUGACAGCAGGCGCCACGGCAAGAACCUUGCCGGGACGCCGGCAAGGCCCUUGCCAUGAACACCCAUAGGGCCACCAUCAGGGCCACGCCAAUCAGACCUCCACCACCGUUCGCAUGCAGCUGCCGACCCAACCAGCUGGGGAGGCACCUGCCUGGCGGCAUGCGGAUCUUCAUGGAGACCCACCACUGCGCCACCUCAGCUGCCUGCCUGCCUACAUGGCACCGCGGGCACCGCUGGCCAGGGCGCGUGUCGAUGCAAGAGGGAGCGGCGACGGACGAGACAGGGCUCUCCCCCGUCCCCGAUAAAGCAAGCACACCUAAGCAAGACGCAUUAAUUGCGCCUUGUCAUGUAAUGCGAGGGAUAACCUCGCAUCACUGUACCCUUUCCACCUCAUGUGUGCCACUUUGGCAACCCCUUUCCCUAUAAAAGGAGGCCCAAGGCGACUAGGAGGGGGAUUCGGCUUUUUGGAGCUCCUCAUGCCCCAUUGCUAGUUCAAGAACACAGAUAAACAAUCCACCAAAGCAGGAGUAGGGUUUUACACAUCCUCGUGGCCCGAACCUGGAUAAAGAUACCGUGUGCUAUCUGUUUGAUCCGCUCUUCUCACAACCCCGCGGCCCGCAACCGUAGUAGGGAUUCUUUUGAUCCCAUAGGUGUCGUUCCCACCGACAGUGAUCGAUCUAGAAAUCAUACUAAGGCUAAGGAGUGAUGUGGCUCAAUGUCUUGUCAGUUUCGAGCUGGUGUUCCCACCAUCCUUCUUCAAUAUCAUAACGCACGUCCUAGUUCAUCUAGUCGACGAGAUUGUCAUUCCGGGGCCCAUAUUUCUACACAAUAUGUUCCCCUUUGAGAGGUUCAUGGGAGUCCUAAAGAAAUAUGUCCGUAACCGCGCUAGGCCAGAACGAAGCAUCUCCAUGGGCCAUCAAACAGAGGAUGGCAUCGGGUUUUGUGUUGACUUCAUUCCUGGCCUUAAGAAGAUAAGUCUCCCUAAAUCGCGGUAUGAGGGGAGACUGACUAGAAAAGGCACGCUUGGAAGGGACUCAAUAAUAUGCAGGGAUAGAUAUUCUUGGUCUCAAGAACACUACACAGUUGUAUAGAACUCUACCUUGGUGACCCCGUAUGUCGAUGAACACAAGAACAGUCUGCGCUCCAAACACCCGGGGCAGUGCGAUGACUGGAUUACAUGUGAACACAUUAGGACUUUCAGCAGUUGGUUGGAAACAUGUCUCAGAGGUGACAACACUGUUUGUGAUGAGCUGUCCUUGUUGUCCAGGGGGACCAUCUUUGACUGUAUUGAUUUACAAAGGAUACGAGAUAAAUGGGAAUACAUUUUACAUGAUUGACCAAGAUCAAAAGAGCACCAACCAAAACAGCGGUGUCCGCUUUGAUGCAACAACCAAGAGGGGAAAGGACACAUAUUAUGGUUACAUAGUGGACAUACGGGAACUUGACUACGGAUAAGAUUUUAAAGUCCCUUUGUUUAAGUGCAAAUGGGUCAAUCUGCCAGGAGGCAGGGUACAGGUAGACCCACAGUACGGAAUGACAACAAUGGAUCUGAAAAAUCUUGGGUACACUGACGAACCGUUCGUCCUAGCCAAUGAUGUGGCACAUGUUAUCUAUGUGAAGGACAUGUCUACCAGACCAACAAAAAGAAAAGAUAAGUAAGCGAAUACAUCAUACGAUGAGCCAAAGCGCCACAUAGUUCUUUCAAGAAAAAGGGACAUCGUGGGAGUGGAGGGCAAGAUAGACAUGUCUGAAGAUUAUGAAAAGUUUCAUGAAUUUCCUCCCUUCAAAGUCAAGGCUGACCCAAGCAUCCUGAUAAACGAUGAAGAUUAUCCAUGGUUACGACGCAAUAAGCAAAUGACACAAGCGAAGAAAAAGUGAAGACUUUCUCCCGCAACUAUUAUGAUGAUACCAUGCCAACUUUGUAACAGACGAGUAUGAUACCAUUCUCCGUUUUGUAACAUGCACAGGCUAUGCCAACUUUUUCAGAGUUCAUUUCAAAUGCUUUAAUGUCUUAUGAUUUGGCCCUCGUAAUACCAUUAAUCCCGGUUCGCUCCUUGUCAACAAUGUUCUCACCAAGAACACUCUCAAGAGGGCAACCACGUGGGCCAUUGGUAAAGUUAAUCACAAACUUGUGAUUCACACAAAUUUCAAAGAAUUCAAAUUUUAACUAUUCUAAUUUGAAAACUAAUGGCACUAACAGAAAGUUUAUAAUUUUUCUAAAACUAAAAGCAAAAAGAAUUAAAAAAUAAAACAAAAAACAAAAGAAAAUAAAUAAUGCAUAAAACAAAAGAAAAAAACUGAAAAAUAGCAACAAUAAGUAUUUUGUUGUAAGUAGAAACAAAAUAAAAUAAAUAAAGCAACAAAGAAAACAAAAAAACAAAAAAAUGUUUUCAAAUUUGAAAACUAAUGGCAUUAACAAAAAGUUUAUAAUUUUUCUAAAAACUAAAAGCAUAAAGAAUUAAAAAAUAAAGCAAAAAACAAAAGAAAAUAAAAUAAAUAAAGCAACAAAAAAACAAAAAAAAGUGCCACCUACUGGGCCCCCACGGCCUGAAUACGACUAGAAACCCAUCCAUGGGCCAGGAUUCAGGCCCGCAGGAGGCCCACUAGGCCCACAGGCAUAGCAGUGACAAUUAGGCCCGUAAGCCUGCAAUGGAGAGAAGCUCGAGAGUGGUGCGGCAGUGGGGCUUAUAAACCACUGCGCACCCCUCUCAACUAGCAAGGUGGGACUAAACUUUCGACGCGGGCGCAGCAGCACAAGGCCUUUAGUCCCGGUUGGUGGCACCAACCGGGACUAAAGGUGGGCAUUGGUCCCGGUUGGUGCCACGAACCGGUACCACCUUUAGUCCCGGUUGGUGCCACCAACCGGGACCAAAGGCCGCCGCUUCCCGCCCUUUGGGCUGCUGAAAAGUGGCCUUUGGUCCCGGUUNNNNNNNNNNNNNNNNNNNNNNNNNNNNNNNNNNNNNNNNNNNNNNNNNNNNNNNNNNNNNNNNNNNNNNNNNNNNNNNNNNNNNNNNNNNNNNNNNNNNNNNNNNNNNNNNNNNNNNNNNNNNNNNNNNNNNNNNNNNNNNNNNNNNNNNNNNNNNNNNNNNNNNNNNNNNNNNNNNNNNNNNNNNNNNNNNNNNNNNNNNNNNNNNNNNNNNNNNNNNNNNNNNNNNNNNNNNNNNNNNNNNNNNNNNNNNNNNNNNNNNNNNNNNNNNNNNNNNNNNNNNNNNNNNNNNNNNNNNNNNNNNNNNNNNNNNNNNNNNNNNNNNNNNNNNNNNNNNNNNNNNNNNNNNNNNNNNNNNNNNNNNNNNNNNNNNNNNNNNNNNNNNNNNNNNNNNNNNNNNNNNNNNNNNNNNNNNNNNNNNNNNNNNNNNNNNNNNNNNNNNNNNNNNNNNNNNNNNNNNNNNNNNNNNNNNNNNNNNNNNNNNNNNNNNNNNNNNNNNNNNNNNNNNNNNNNNNNNNNNNNNNNNNNNNNNNNNNNNNNNNNNNNNNNNNNNNNNNNNNNNNNNNNNNNNNNNNNNNNNNNNNNNNNNNNNNNNNNNNNNNNNNNNNNNNNNNNNNNNNNNNNNNNNNNNNNNNNNNNNNNNNNNNNNNNNNNNNNNNNNNNNNNNNNNNNNNNNNNNNNNNNNNNNNNNNNNNNNNNNNNNNNNNNNNNNNNNNNNNNNNNNNNNNNNNNNNNNNNNNNNNNNNNNNNNNNNNNNNNNNNNNNNNNNNNNNNNNNNNNNNNNNNNNNNNNNNNNNNNNNNNNNNNNNNNNNNNNNNNNNNNNNNNNNNNNNNNNNNNNNNNNNNNNNNNNNNNNNNNNNNNNNNNNNNNNNNNNNNNNNNNNNNNNNNNNNNNNNNNNNNNNNNAUUUCCCCAUGUACGUAUAUCGUCGUUGUCGAUAUAAAUGUACCCCUCCCGAUAACUUCAACACGUGGGGGGGUCGAUAUACCCCCUCCCCGAUAAUAUUAUUUUCCCAUGUACGUAUAUCGUCGUUGUCGAUAUAAAUGUACCCCUCCCGAUAACUUCAACACGUGGGGGGGGGGUCGAUAUACCCGCUCCCCGAUAACAUUAUUUUCCCGUGUAUGUAUAUCAUCGUUGUCGAUAUUACCCCCUCCCGGAUAACUUCGACAGUCAAAACUCUCGAGGAGUACACCCAAACUAAUAUAUCCACGUGCUGUCAUGCUUGUGUAAUAAUUGCCAAGUUGUAAUAUAUAUUUGCAGAAACAAUGGAGCACGGACGAGAUAGGGAAGCAGAAGAGAGGUUGCGGGACAUAAUCUUAGACAGAGGUGAUGUCAUGUCGUGUUUUCUUAACGACAAUGAUGGUCUGGAAGAACAACAGGGUAAAGAAGCAGGUCCGGAAGACUAGCAAGGUGAAGAAGCAGGUCCGGAAGAACAGGGAGAAGGCUCCGAUGACCGAACAGAGUCCAGACAGGUAAAUAUAUUAGUUAAGCCUAUGCUGAGACUAGCUAAUUGAUGCAUUCAUUGUUUUGCUACAUACACAUAUUAAUUAACUCUCGUCUUUCUUCUUUUCUAUCCCUCCGGAUCGAGCACAACUUCGGUAAAGAGACGAGGCCCGGAGAAAAAGUUGCGCGAGGAUGAAAGGAUUGAGAUCACAGCAAUCGCGCGUGACGGCCUACCGAUUGAACCCAUCCAGACGAAGGAUCCAUUUACUGCUCAGUGCGGGGUUCUUGCUAGGGACAAGAUCCCGAUCAGCAUCCACCAAUGGUUUAAGCCAGCUAAAGAAGACCCUGAGGUGUCUUAUGUCAAUGAUCAGCAUCCACCAAUGAUCUUUGGAAGGAGCUGAAGGCAAAUUUCACCCUACCGCCAGAGGAGGAUCCGGAGAAGCCGGUUAUGGAGCAAUUAAUUAAGUCUGCUGCUCUUAAGAAGAUGGUAGAGCUAUUCAGGAGGUGGAAGAAUGAGCUGAAAAGGUUUGUCAACAAAGAAGAGACACCAGAAUUCAAGGGAAAAUAUGAGAAGAUUAGAGAUCAAUGGCCCGCAUUUGUGGCCCACAAGACAUCAGAUAAGAGUAAGAAGAUGUCGGAGACAAACAAGAAAAAUUCUGCGAAGAAGAUGCUUCACCAUCGCAACGGGUGAGGUGGCUACCUCAAAGGCCGGCCUAAGUGGGCAAAGGUUGAGACAGAUCUGCUUGAUAAAGGGAUCGAACCAGAGACAAUGAACUGGCCAGACCGUUGCCGGACUUGGUUCUUCGGGGCUGGCGGAUCCUUGGACCCUGUAACAGGGAAGUGCAUUUGGACGGACGAGCAACUUGACAUACUCUUGAAGAAGCUUCGGUACUAUAUCGAUGCAGCGCACAAAGGGAUGUUCCUUCCAGACAGAGAGAACGACGAGCUCACAAAGGCCCUCGGAAAUCCUGAGCACCUUGGAUGGGCACGAGGCACGCCAGGCUCCAUUCCAUGGAAGGCUGGGUUUUCGGACGCAGGCGGUUACAAAAGCCACGAGAGGAGGAAGAAAGUGCAGCAAACCGAACUGCAGGCGCUGCAUGCAAGGGUAGAAGCGAUAGAGGAAUGAGAAGCAAAUCGCAGCAAAUGACUUGCCGAAGCUUCCCCUGAAGCUACCCCGCCAUCUCAGCGGAGAAGCAGCAUGGCUUCCACCGAGCUGCUUCAGCCGGAGCAUGUCUUGACGGCUCCUUCCAGCUAUCCCAUGGAUGCCAUCACAGGAUCUCAAAAUUUCCCCCUUAUGACGCAAUGGAUUAAUAUGAAGGUCAAGGCGGCUGUUGGCUCUGUUUUUCCUAAUGAACCCGGCGCAACUUUUCACUGCCGGCCGAUUCCAGAAGGAUAUGCUAAGGUGAUGGUGGAUGAAAUAACAGAGGGAUUUGAGGACCUCCCGCUUGACCACCCUACCGGAGAAGGGGAGACUCGGCUGGGUUCUUCUCUCAAGACUCCAUGCCUAUGGCAGAAGGAGCUUGUCGCUGUCAAAACUGGCGGAUCUCGGGUAGGGGAUCCCAAACUGUGCGUCUAGGCGGAUGGUUACAGGAGACAAGGGACAUGAAGUUUUACCCAAGUUCGGGCCCUCUUGAUGGAGGUAAAACCCUACGUCCUGCUUGAUUAAUAUUGAUGACAUGGGUAGUACAAGAGUAGAUCUACCACGAGAUCAAGGAAGCUAAACCCUAGAAGCUAGCCUAUGGGAUGAUUGUUAUAUGUUGUCCUACGGACUAAAACCCUCCGAUUUAUAUAGACACUGGAGAGGGUUAGGGUUACACAGAGUUGGUUACAAUGGUAGGAGAUCUACAUAUCCGUAUCGCCAAGCUUGCCUUCCACGCCAAGGAAAGUCCUUUCGGGACACAGGACGAAGUCUUCAAUCUUGUAUCUUCAUAGUCCAGGAGUCCGGCUGAAGGUAUAGUCCGGCUAUCCGGACACCCCCUAAUCCAGGACUCCCUCAGUAGCCCCCGAACCAGGCUUCAAUGACGAUGAGUCCGGCGCGCAGAUUGUCUUCGGCAUUGCAAGGCGGGUUCCUCCUCCAAAUACUUCAUAGAAGAUUUUGAACACUAAGGAUAGUGUCCGGCUCUGCAAAAUAAGUUUCCACAUAUUGCCAUAGAGAGAAUAAUAUUUACACAAAUCUAAUCUGCUGACGUAUCCCGUAGCGUGACACCACACCACGGCCAAGUCUUUAUUCGAAUUGUUUUAGCCCCCCCACCUCAGCGCAUUUUGCGAGGCGGUUUCCUUGGCACGUCUUGUCAAAGCAGAGAUCGUGUCCCCUUUAUUUACGGGAUUCUCAUCAAUACGGACGUGGGUAUCCCAAUCGUGCCCGUUGGCAUGUCUUCUCGAUUAAAGGCAAGUCCCAAACGAUUACGGGGAGGGCCCUUGGUAUUCAACCUCUUAUAAAGAGACCAAGGCCUUACUCCUUUGUUUCAAUCUCAAACGAUUUCUCCCUUCGCCUCGAGUUCCAACACCCAAGGCUCCAAAUUUCAGGCGCCUCGGAAAUUCGACAAUGUCCGGUUCCGACCUUUGAGGCCGAUGGGCGCCCUCUUCCCUUACGGAGGAGGACGUGCUAAAGCUGAGGGAGGCCAGGUUCUUGACCGGUGAAAUCUCGCAUAGGUUGCCUGCUCAAGGGCAGGUCAUUCCCACUCCCAGGGCUGGUGAGAGCAUGGUGUUCAUGUCUCACUUCCUUCGGGGGCUAGGCUUCCCAACGGAUCCCUUCGUGAGGGGGCUCAUGUUUUAUUAUGGGUUGGAAUUUCACGACUGAGCUCUGGAGUCCAUCCUCCACAUUUUCUCUUUCAUCGUCGUGUGUGAAGCCUUCCUCCGUGUUAAUCCUCACUUCGGACUAUGGCUCAAGACCUUUAAGGUAGUGCCGAAGAUGAUCGAGGGGCGGCACGCUGAGUGCGGAGGCACUGUUAUAAGCAAGAAUGUUGAUGCUCCAUGGCUCAAGGGCUCUUUUCAAGAGGAGUUCAGCUUAUGGCAACGAGAGUGGUUCUAUAUCACCGCUCCCAGGGGCACCAAGUGGGUGGCGCCACCUGCCUUUCGCUCGGGUCCCCCACCUCAGCUAGUGUCAUGGGUCAAUAAAGGACUUGACUGGGGGUCAUCCAAGGACGUGCCCUUCUUGAAGGGUCGCAUCAGGGAUCUCUUAGAAAGAGACCUCAGCCUGGUCAAAGUGACGCAGGUCAUGCUGAUCCGCCGAACCCUGCCCGACAAACGUCGCCCCCUUCGCCUGUGGGAGUAUAAUCCGGAGGGACCGCGAGCUCUCCAGCAUUUCAUGGGUGCAACGCCCGCGGAGAUGUAUAAGUUGUUCUUCAGAUCACAAGCGACGUGUCCGGACUUAACCAAGGACGCAGGCUUGAGCUGCAAUCGCCCGGAUACUAAAGUAAGUAGCCUCGUGCCCGGACUCGCUAUCGGUAUAUUUGUCAUAAAACUUGCUUCUAAAGAACUGUUCUUUAAACAUGAGUGGAUAGCGAAAGCAAAGCUUAUCAGGUGUCUGGAUCCCCUCCCCGAGACCACGCCGGAUCCCGUGCGGGUCAGGAUGUUGAAGAUUGUGCCUUUGAAGGAAAGCAAGGGAGGGGACAAGGAAACUACGGCAUCCUCGAAGGAGGCUGUUCGGAGGGAAGGAAUCGAAAGUUCCUCUCCUCUAGGAAAGAAGAGGACCGCCUCUGAAGACCCGGAGACCGUGGCCUCAAAACGGGGGAAGAGAUCUUCAUCAGAGGGUCCUGCGCCGGGGGACACCUCGGCCGAACUAUGCCCUCAAGGGGCUAGCCCUCCACCGAGCCGUAAGUAGAGAGAGGUUUUUCUUUGAGAAGAAUCCUUGUUUUAUAUCUGAGAAGAAUUGUGGGGACCCCGACUCAUAAGUCGUGAUCACCGAAUGCACGUGUACAGUGAUCCCAGAGAUCAAUGCUCACUGAACACACAGAAGCUGAAUAACAAGAGUCUUACAUCCAUACAUACCGUCUUACACAAAUUGUGACCAUUAUGGUCAAGUCUUACAUCGAUAAAGCCUUAAGGGCUGAACAUCAAAUGAAACAUAAGCAGCGGAAAUCGUCGUCAAUAAGUAGAACCCAUGCCAUCUGCCUUAACCCUACAGGCAUUCUGACUGGGAAACGUCCUAGUUCGCAUGUUCGUCUCCAAAGAACUCUUCUUCGAACUCCGGUUCUUCCAUGCCUGGUCAAUUAAAUAACCAGUGGCAAGCCAAUGAGUACUUUGAAUGUACUCGCAAGCAACCCAUGUUUUGGUUCAAGGUACAUCAAUGCAUGACGUAGGUAAAUUUUGCAUAAAGCUAGUUUUGAGUGCAAUGACAUGUUCAACAUCCUAUAAAGCAUGCAUCAAGAGAAUUGAAGUAACCAUGAGGUCUGGUCACAGAUAUCAACAUAAAUAGAGUGGGCACCAACCCAUUUAUCAUAAACAGAGUGGGCACCAACCCAUCUCAAUCGUGUCAAGUCCUUGACUUGACCCAAGUAAUUUCCAUCAUCUCACACACACUGGGUUUGAAAACAAGUGGACGUAGCCCAAGAGCGGUUACCCAACUGUCCUUGACCGUGGACACGGCUAUUUGAAUAGUUUUACACUCUGCAGAGGUUGCACACUUUACCCACUAGAUCCGGGGAACUUCCGUGUCAUCCAUGACCCGCGGUACCUCAAGUACCCGGGGUAAGCACCCGAUCACUACCUUUCCCUAGACGACACUAACAUGGAGUCCACUCGAUUGGUAGUAAUCCCCGUGCCCAACAUCUCACAUCAUGAGGGUGUGGAGCCUCGCUCCCUUAUUCAUCACAUACCACAAGCACGGGGUACCAACGGUGUGCCCGGUGCUGUAAAGACAGACAUGGCCGCCCUACCUGGCACGACCCCGUCCCGAGAGAGAGCACCAACUCUCCCCCGUCACUAGUAAUGCGGGCCCCAAGCUAGUAUCGGACUAGGUACUCAACAAUGCCCUUUCCCAUAUAAGGGUAGAGUGGUUGCGCAUGUAAGGUUGGAAUAACGGUCGCAACUCCGACCAAUCCGUUUUGAAAACCACACACACUUUCCUUGGCACACCACUUCGUCAUCAAGUGGUCACCCAUCUCAUCAUCUCCCUCGGGCAUAAGUGGCACCCGACGGGGUUUUCGAAAAGUCUUUAAAAAUAUUUUUGCCUCCAUCACCAUGCAUACCCCCGUCCCUUUUGCGUAGCAUCUACCUUUGCAUCCUAUCUACUCCCACCGGCAUAACCCUCAUAAGAAGGUAGGGCCAUGCACAAUGCAAGUAUCAACGAGGAAUGUAACCGAGGCAACCAACCACGUGGUUCACCAUCUCAUCAUGAUUCCGAUGCAACAAGUAUAACGAACUAUAUGGCAUGUAUAAGAAGGUUUCAUAAACAUGGUCAAAGGGCUGCUUGCCUUGGUUGGCUUGAUCUUCAAAGUCUUCAGGCCCUGCUCCUCCUUCUUCCUCAGCUACCUCGUCAAAUACGGGAUCUAACGUCGCAAGAAAACAAUGGGAAAAUAAGACAAUAAUAAAAACAGAAAAGUCAAAGUGCUCAGAAAAAUGUCAACUUAUUUUUGUAAAAUACUAGGAGGAAAGCUAGGAAGGGGACAACUUUUGGUUUUGGUUCUGGAGUAGCAGAAUAGGAGAUAUGGAUUUUCAAAGGCAUAUUUAAAUGCUAAAAAUCACAUUUAAAUAUUUACAGAAAAGGAAAGGUUGUUGGAUCAGAGUGAAAGUUGCACCAUUAAAUAGGUUGCAAUAUUUUAGGAAUUUAGAAAUUGGAAUCAAUUCAUUUGGAUAAAUAUUCUGUCCUGUGGAAUUUUUGGAAAGAAGACAGAAAAAGAAAAAGAAAAACGGCGCUGUGCCACUGGGCCAGAGAGGCCACGGCAGCAGCAGGCCCAG